AUUUUUUAAUAUUGUGCAGGGAGGCCAGAGAAGCUGAGCUUCCUGUGCACACCCUGAUGGUGCGCACCGUGAAGCCGUGCUUGCAUAUUUGCACCAGUAGCCCGCAUUUAGGCCACGAUCCACGCAGCAGCCGUGCUGAUACGUGUCGCCGUCCAUCAAGAACACUGCAAAACGGUUUUCCAAACGAGACACCAAGCAACCAACAGUCCCAACACACACCCAUGUAUACCGGCGAUCGAACACAUGAAAGAGACAAAGUCACAGUACACAUACAUAGCUCGGCGACGCUAGUAGAUUUACAGAAGAAACGAGAUAAAGCACCACAAAAGUACGCACGCACCACGAUGACACAGACCGCCACAAGUGAAGUAACCGAGCAAGCGCGGACGAGCUAGCACGGGCGCACGCCUAGACCUUGGUGAAGCGGAGGUACCCCUUCUUGGAGGGCAGGUCGGCGGUCUCGAACCCCUGCGGGAACAUCUUCUUGGCCUCCUCGUCGGAGACGCCGGGCGCGAUCACCACGCACUCCCCGGGCUUCCAGUUGGCCGGGGUGGCCACCUUGUGCUUGGCCGCCGUCAGCAGCGAGUCCACGGCCCGCACCACCUCGUCCAUGUUCCGCCCCGUGCACGACGGGUACAGGAAGCUCAGCUUCACCACCUUGUCCGGCCCCACGAUGUGCAGGGUGCGGGACGGCAGCUGCCCCUGGCCGUCCUUCUCGUCCGGGUCGACCAUGUUGAGCUGCUUGAUGGCGGAGCGGUCCGGGUCCGCCAUGAUCGGGUACGUCACCCUGCUCCCAGGCUGCACGCGCGACAACAGAGAAAUUAACCAACCAUGCAUGGCUAAUCGAACACGGAUUAUGGGCGAACCUUGUUGGCGCCGCCGCUCCUCGGAACGCCGCUUCUUCUUCCUCACACAACUCUCCCUUCCUCUUGGUUCUCUCAAGAACACACACCAUGGAAGAAACCCAGAAAAAACACACGCACACACACACCAGGGAAGGAAGCCAACUAGCUUUGCCAAGAGGCUCUCCUCCUGGGUCACACAAGUGCUACAUCUUUUCUGCCAGCUCUCACGGCUCCUCUACACAACAGCACCGGGGCCCUUUUAAUACACAGACUUACGCCCAGCCCAGCCGCCCAGAUCGGCCACUAACCCCAAGCACUAACUACAGCACGCAUGCACCACACCGGCCACUACCACAUGACCGGGCCACUAACCCACUAGCUACAUGCAUGCAACUAGAUAACUACCUUAUCCAUGCACUCCAGGACUGGGCAACUCCACCGGACGCCCCGCUCGUAACAUCCGCGGGACUCGGCUGCUAACAGAAUCACACACGUCAAGAUUAGUGCUAACAUUCCCCCCCUUAAUCUUGACACGCCUUGCCGUCGUCGAAGUUGUUGCAGCUGCCGUCGUUAUCGUCGUCACGAGCGUGACCCAGCUUGCGGACCCGACCUGGCGCAACGACGCCGGUCGCACCGUGCUCCGUCACGACUCCGGCGACACACGCCGAGCUCCAUCUCCACCAGCGACACACGCCUGGCAUCCCUCUGCGUCCCGCACGUCCCGCACGCAUCCGACGUGCCCGACGAACCCGACAGCACCAGACGCUCACCGCGUGUCGCCUCCGCGUCCGCCAUGGCAGCCGCCACGCCGCGCCUCCGUGCCACGCACCUUCCACGGUUGUCGCCCCGAGCCGUCGCGACCUUUGCGCCACCACGAAGGUCUUUCGCGACCUCCUCGUCUCCGCGACCGCCGUGCCCUUCGCGCACACUCCCCACGUCCCCGCGCUCCCAGCCCGCGCUCCCGCCGCGCACGUACGCGGUCUGCGCAACCAGGUCCAGCGCCUCGACGCGGUCCACUCCCGCGGUCCCGACGCGCUCGACACGUCCAGUGCGCGCCCAUAACACGCACCGGUCGCGUCCGGCUCGCCGCCACGUCUUAUUGCCCUGCACCGCUGCGGCCUCCAUGCCGCCAUGCCGUGCUGCGCCGCCGCGCCACCACGCAGCGCCUCGGCGGCCUCCGUGGUCGCCGCACGCACGACGUCACCGCCCGCCGCAUCCGCCACGCGCCAUGAGAGCCACAGCGCCGCCCACCUCCAUGGGCCGACACACGGCCCGGAGCUCCAUCGCGCAGCCGCCGGCGAGCGCCACCAUCGCUGCCACGCCUCCGGCACGGCAAGCACGCCCAAGACACCAAGCUCAUGAUACCAAAUGUUGGCGCCGCCGCUCCUCGGAACGCCGCUUCUUCUUCCUCACACAACUCUCCCUUCCUCUUGGUUCUCUCAAGAACACACACCAUGGAAGAAACCCAGAAAAAACACACGCACACACACACCAGGGAAGGAAGCCAACUAGCUUUGCCAAGAGGCUCUCCUCCUGGGUCACACAAGUGCUACAUCUUUUCUGCCAGCUCUCACGGCUCCUCUACACAACAGCACCGGGGCCCUUUUAAUACACAGACUUACGCCCAGCCCAGCCGCCCAGAUCGGCCACUAACCCCAAGCACUAACUACAGCACGCAUGCACCACACCGGCCACUACCACAUGACCGGGCCACUAACCCACUAGCUACAUGCAUGCAACUAGAUAACUACCUUAUCCAUGCACUCCAGGACUGGGCAACUCCACCGGACGCCCCGCUCGUAACAUCCGCGGGACUCGGCUGCUAACAGAAUCACACACGUCAAGAUUAGUGCUAACAAACCUUGUAGGCCUCGAUGUCCUUGGUCCACUCCUUGUGGGACUGCACGUCGUCGCAGGAGAUGCCGAGCAGCUUCACGCCCCGCUUCUCGAACUCCUUGGCGUAGUUGGCCAUGGCCGCCAGCUCCGUCGUGCACACCGGGGUGAAAUCACCUGAACAGUACAGAGCCGCAGACAACCAAUCAGCACCAGAACAGAACUUCACAAGGAUUACGAUCGAGCAGGCCGUGAAGGCGUACACACGUACCGGGGUGGGAGAAGAGGAUGACGUAGCCGUUGCCGACGUAGUCGUGGAUGCGGAUCUUGCCAUGGGUGGAGUCCAGCUCCAGGUUGGGGACGGUGUCGCCGAUGGUGAGGCCCGGCAUGAUGGAUGAAGAACUGAAAGCUAGCUACUGCGUGCUCUUUGAUGCUGCAAACUGCUCUCGAUGGAUGACGGCGAGGGCGCACCGGGGAGCUGCUUUUAUAGGAGCGGUAGGCCGGCGAGGGUGUGUGUAGAAGUGGCAGCAAGGCGCGUUGCAUGAGGGCCACGUACUUGGCCUCGUGGCAGCCCGCCGGGUGACCUUGUUCAAUGCGCUUGACCUGCCCACCGACGCACACCGUCCAGCGGGGCAGUGGGCAUGCCGUGUGGCGAAGCCAUUCAGAAGCUCACGGCCACCUGUGCGAGCUGCGGCAUCGUCCGUCAACUCUUUUUUCAGAAAUGUUUUCUAGAAGUAUUAACUGACUGCUGUCAGAUUUUUGUCCUUCCAGCGAACACGUCAGUUAUCGUUGGAUGAGAUUGAGACACACGAAUCUUGAUGUAAGGAGCAUUGCCAUGCCAGAUAAAAAAAAAACAUUCCCUGAACUGGCUUCUAUACGGACGAAUCGACCUAUCUCCUUUCUCUCUCAAUCCCUAUCUCCAUUCCUCACGGUGAGCUCCAACACCCGCUCGCGCUGUCAAUUUCGAGGUUGACGCGGCUGCGACGAAGCGGCCGGCGGUGUUGAGGAGGCAGACGGCAGCGGCUCUACUUUCUCUCAUAAUCCAUAUUCCAUCCUUGACGGUGUAACCAUGGCAAAUUUAUUCUUUACAUCAUAGCAAAUUUUUUUCAUGGAACGGCUUUGCCUCACAUGUCAAAGUGCAUAUAUCUUCUUUUCUUGGUGGGUGGGUGUGUGUGCAACUUUAUUAUAGGGUGCAUGGCAUUUUAGUGGUCAAACGACAAAUUUGCAUGAAUGUUUUAAUUGUUCCCAUGGCAAUUUUCUUCUCAUGGAGAGUCAAUUGCAAGAAACCACCACAUUUGUGGCUAGGUUUGCAGGAAACUACCAAGUCGUUAAUCUGUUGCAAAAAACACCGUAAAAUCUCUUAACCCGUUGCAAAAAGCACUGAACAGCCGUUUAGCCUCGUUUGAUCUCUUUUCCGACAGGUGGGCCGCGAAAACGCUAACGUGGCGUGCGGACAGGCAAACGGCGCCGUUAGGAAAGAAAACGGUCAACACGCCGCGCGGUCGGUCCUGUCGGUGCUCGCCAGACAGAUGCCCCGCGCCCUCUCUCUCUCUCGCCCCUCUCCUCUGCCUCCUCUCUCUGGCUCUGGUCGCCGUCGGUGAGAAGCCAGCUGGCCGCCGUCCGCCAUGGUUUCGUGGAGCGACGACAGCGAGGAAUCGGGCUACGAGUACUCUUCAGGCGGCUCCCCUAUCAAGGUCAGUGAUUUGAACUCGUAGCUAGGGUUCUUUGAGCAAUGGUUUCGGUUUGGGGAUUUUGUUUUUCCUGCUCGAUUUGAACCCGUGAGAUGGAUUUUGUGCGUUUCUUUUGUUGAUGUAGAUCCCGGCUACAAUCGAGGACCCGAACUACUCUGGUGUUGAUGAUGAGGUGAUGGUGAUGUGUGAGCAUGGCCAGCCGGCGAAGAGGCAUGUUUGCUUCGAAGGGAUUAGCACUGGGAGGAGGUUCAUUGCCUGUGGACUUGAUGUGAGUGCUAGCAAAAAUCUGUAGUUUGCUCAUUUUGUGAAGAAACUAUAAAUUGUUCAUAUGCACUGUUCAUUGUUCAUGUUCACUGUUCAUUGUUCAUGUUCACUGUUCACCUAGUAGUUUAGUUAAAGGUACUGUCAUGUACCAUACCAUAGUGACUGAGUGAAGUAAAUGAAUUGUUCAUACAUAUAAAUGAACUACACCACAGUGAUAUAAAUGAAGUAAAUGAAUUAAAUUGUGCUAUUAAAAAUUAAGUACAAAGAUAUAAAAUUAAGGUAUCCAUAGUGCAUUGUUCAUAGAUAUAAAUGAAUUGAACUGAAUUGUAUUGUGCUGUUAAAAAUUAAGGUAUAAAUGAAGUAAAUUCAGUGUAGUAUGCUGUUAAAAAUUCAGAUAUAAAUUCAGAGUUGAGCUGAAUUGUGCAUGUGCAGUAUACUAUAGUUGUUUUGUACUUGUACUUGUUGUUUGCUAAUAGACUGAAUAGAAUUGCCAGCAGUUGUGGUGUUGUUCAUUGGGUAGAUGAGGAGUGGCCAGAAUAAAAGUGAAGUGAAAAAGGAAGUAAAUGCAUUUGUACUUGUUGUUUUGCAGGAAGUAAGCAGUUGUGGUGUUGUUCAUUGGGUAGAUGAGGAGUGGCCAGAGCAUCUGCAGAAUGCUCUUCACAAACUAUGGCUUUUGUAUGAGGAUUGCUAGCGUGCUAAUAGGAUGGCAUGUCUGGAACAUUCAUGUCCACAAUCUCACAUCACAGAAGAACAAGCUACAGGAGACUUAUGAGAAGCUUGUUGAGGAUGUGAACAACCUACUUGAUACCCAGGACAAUAUUCCCAAGGAAAAUGAAGUCCAACAAGGUGAACAUGAGGAGAUCACUCCUCCUUUGGACAACAAUAUUUCAGCUUUGAAGGAACAGCUGGGUGCAAUGGAUGCUGAGAACAAAGAACUGAAGCAAAAGGUUGACCAGUUGAAGAGCAUUCAGGUUGCCCAAGGUAAUGUGAUUAGGAAUCUGAAGUUUGCUCAUUUGAAGGAGAAGGAAAAGUUGAGCACUGAGAGGAGGAAUUUGGAGUUUCACAUUGCUGAUCUUGUCAAAGCUAGUGACAAGAACAAGAGAAAGCUUAAGGACAUCAAGGAUAUUUGCGAUGAAGAGUGAUUUGUAAUCUGACCAUGUGGGUCAUUAUCUUAGGUUUCAAGCAUUGAACUAUGGCUUGUAAUGUGUGAACUAGUGACAGUUUGCAGUAUUUGAAGUAGGGUGUAGCCUUGAACUAUGUCUUGUAAGCUUUGAACUAUGGUGUCAUGAUGUUAACUAUGUUGUUAACUAGAGUUAUUGGAUACUGUCAUGAUGUUAACUAGAGUUGUUGGAUACUGUCAUGAUGUUAACUAUGUCAUUGAUGUUAACUAUGGCACCCUAAAUGAUGGAAUGAGGAUAUGUAUCAUAUUAGGUUAUCGUGGAUGCCGUCGACGCCGAGGCACCCUAGAAGAUCAUAUUAGGUUAUCGUGGAUGCCGUCGACGCCGAGGCACCCUAGAUGAUCAUAUUAGGUUAUCGUGGAUGCCGUCGACGCCGAGGCACCCUAGAUGAUCAUAUUAGGUUAUCGUGGAUGCCGUCGACGCCGAGGCACCCUAGAUGAUCAUAUUAGGUUAUCGUGGAUGCCGUCGACGCCGAGGCACCCUAGAUGAUCAUAUUAGGUUAUCACACUUAUUAGCAAACAAUAACCAGAAAGUACUCAACCAAAAUAAAGAUGUUUUGAACAUCAUCAGCUCACCACAGACCAACAAGUCCACUAGGUACCUUACAUGAAAGUACUCAUGACAACCAGAAUAAAGAUGUUUAGAACAUGUUUAGAACAUGAAAGUACUCAUGACAACCAGAAGCAACACAAGUUUUGACCACAAAUUAACACAACUUCACCUGCUCCCUUGAGAACAGUUGAACCACUCAGACAUCUUAAAGGAUGGCUUCCUCACUCUUCCACUACCUGCAACUCUUGGGGGGAUGAACUUGUUUCUUCCUCUUGGCCCAGCAGCAGUAGAGGAACUUGGACCAGCACCAGCAGUAGAACUUGGACCAGCACCAGCAGUAGAAGUUGCAGUCCUUAUAGUUUUAGCUUUCUUUGUUGCCCUUGUAGCAGGAGGAGCAACAGCUGCAGUAGGAGCAGAAGGAGCUCUCCUUGGUGCACUGGGAGCUGAAGCAGGAGCAGAAGGAGCUCUCCUUGGUGCACUGGGAGCUGAAGCAGGAGCAGAAGGAGCUCUCCUUGAUACCCUUGGAGCCCUUGGAGCUGGUGGAGCUGGAGCUGCAGUUUGAGCAGCAGCAGGAGCAGAAGGAGCACUUCUCCUUGGUGGCAUGGGAGCAGGAGCAGAUACAGUUCUGGGUGUAUCAUCUCUCCUGUUUUCCUGAAAUUAUAGCAUACAAAUGUUAGAAACUAGUAUGUGAAAUUGUACAAAAACCUACAACAAUAGUUACCUGGUGCUGGUUCAUUCUCAUAGCUAGGGAUGGUUUAAGAGCCUGCUUGCAACUAGUGUAUCUAUGCCCAGUCCUAUUGCAAUUGCUACAAGUGAUAGUUCCCAUCCUAGAUGUAUCCUUUGGAGCUGGCUUUUCAAACUUGCUCUUUCUCCUCUUUGUCUCUUUGUUUCCUGGCUUUUCUUUGAACACUGGUGGUUCAAUGUCAGGGGUUCUAGUCUUUGGCCACAAAUCAGGCCCAGGCACAGGGAAAACUAUUAGACUAUAAGCUGCCUUAUACAUUGGUUUCUUGAAGAAAUCAUGAACAAAAUCUUCUGGCUGUAGUUUUGCCUUGUUGAUUGCAGAAACACCAUGAUUGCAAGGUACUCCACACAUGUCCCACUUCCUACAACCACAUGUAUGUAGCAACAAGUUAACUGCAUAUGUGCUUUCUCCACUUGUCACCUGGAAGAGAUCAGGUCCAGCUUUGAUAGACUGACAAAACCUAGAAUGAUGUUUUGCUUCCUCUAGCUUCUCAGCAUAUUUUGGGCAUAUCUGCCACUUAGCAGUCUCAGUCUUUGUCCUAUUUGCAUUGAACUUCACUAACAGCUUUGUCCUGAUCCCAUCUACCAUAGUUCUAAUGGGUUUGGCUCUGACAUCAAGUAUCAUCUUGUUAAAAACUUCACUUAUAUUGUUCACUACCAAGUCAGUUUUGCAAUUGUUGUCCAUGGCAUGCCUAGCCCAUGUAUGUUUUGGUAUCCUAGAUAGCCAUUUCCAAGCUGGCUCACACUCCUUUUUCAUGCCUUCCAUUGCAGUUACAUAACCAUGCUCAGUAUAGGAAUAACUUGCCUGAUACAUGUAUUUCUUCAACUCUUCCCCUCUAAAACCAGCAGUUUGAAAGUUCUGAUAAAUAUGUCUAAGGCAGAAUCUUUGUUUGCAAUUGGGGAAUACAUUGUUUAUGGCUGUAAGAAGGCCCUGUUUGAAUGAACUACAGUUUGAGAAUACUACAACAAUGCCAUGUAUGAAAUUAAUAAACAAAGACAAUUAAUAAGCAAUGCAAGCAAUGAAUAGAGUAGAGAUAGUAGUACCUUUUGCCUGUCAGAUAUAAUGGUGUAGUAGCCAAACUUGCCUGACUCACCACCAAUGGCAUAUUUUAAUUGAGUAAGAAACCAAGACCAGCUUGCUGUGUUUUCCUUGUCCACUAUUGCAAAAGCAAUGGGAAAUAUGUUAUUGUUUCCAUCUCUUCCAGUGGCAGCCAAGAUUUGCUGCCCUGUUGUCAACUUUAUGAAGCAACCAUCAACACCUAUCAUACAAGAUCACAAGUAGAUUACCAACAAAUUAGUGGGUGUGCACAUAUAAAUGUAGAGUCACUAGUUAAUUAGUAGGUGUGCACAUACCUAUGAAUGGUCUGCAACCAUUAAGGAAACCCUCUUUGCAAGCAUUGAGGCAGAUGAACAAGCCAUGGAAUCUUGGGUUUUUGCUUGGAUGUAGUUUCAGGUGCUUUGUUGUGACAAUGCAUCUACUUCCUGGAUUGGUUUCUAGCACAGCUUCUAGGUAAUCCCUUAUCCUAUGAUAUUGUGCCUUCUGAUCUCCUAGGACUACAUUUUUAGCUAGCUUUCUUGCCCUAUAGGUCAUAUGUAUAGAUACCUCUAUUCCAUGCUUUUGCUUCAAGUUUGAAAUUAUAGUCUGGACAGGUGUGUUGGGGUCUGUCCUCAACUGUUGCUCACAUUCAUGUGCCAACCACUUAGCAGUAACUUUUGUGCUCUCUCCUACUACUGGGCAGCUGUGGUGCAAGUUCAGUUUCUUUAUACAGAAUGUCUUCUCAUGUGCUAUCUGAGAAGCUGCAAUGAAAAAUGGACAAUUCUCAAAUUUGCAGACAGCUAUAAUCCUGUCUGGACAGUUCCUGUGGAAGGCAUGGUUCCUAUUUUGUGAGAUGUGAAAAUUAAGAAGUGCCCUCCUGAACUGGGUCACAUCUAGGAAACAAAGCUUCUUCAUAAAUUGCUCUUCUGGGUUCUCCCUUUGCUCAUCAUACCAAACUCUAGGCUUCCUCUUUUUAGCCCUGCUCUUCCUAUCAGCUGGAAGCUUCACACAUGGUAUUUGAGCCCCAUCAUUGUCCUCCUCACUUAGGUCACCAGGGUUGCUCUCCUCAUCAGAUGAAGGAAACCAAUCUUCCUCAAUAAUCUCAUCCAAACUAGAAUGAGAUCUUGUAGUUGGCCCCUUUCUUUUACUUCCUCCUAUGCUGCUCCCUUCCUCCUCCUCCUCUGGUGCCUUCUCCUCCUCCUCCUCCUCUGGUGCCUUCUCCUCCUCCUCCUCCUCCUCAUCUGCUUCAUAUGGCUCAUCCACAUCAGUGUCCCCUUCAAUAUGAUGAAGUGGAUCAUCUCUAUGCUUCUUCAUUGCCUCAAGCCUAGCAAUUAUAUCCUCAUCUGCUAGUAAAUCUGUGUCACUGUCACUAUCAGUGAAAUCUUCAGCCAUUAGCUCUGGAAGUUUUCUUUUAGCUGCCUUGUAUUUCUCUUUUUCUUUCCCCUUUUCCUGAACUUCUCAAUCUCUUCAUUCCUCUUCUGCUCCAUCAGUUGCUCAAUUUGCUCUUGAUCUUGGUCUUGCUCCAUUGCAAAUUCUGCUACUGGUGCACACUUCUGCUUCAAAAAUGUACUCUCCUGUGUGUUAAUGACCUGCACGGGCACUUGUUGUGGCUUUGUUGGGCUAGGAAACAGUACUCCUGUUGUAUCUAUCUCAUACACCACUGGCACACCUAUUUCAGAUAAUGGAACCUGCUCCUCACAAACUGGUCCAAUGUUCAAAUCACUAGGUCUUGGAGCAUCACUUCUGAUGACUGUUAUGUUCACCACCUUCUGACCUUUGACAACUAGGUCAUCCAACAUUUCCUCCACCUUAUCAUCAUCUGUCAGUUCUUCCAUACCUGAAACCCCAACACCUGGAUCUCUGACAUAAUACAUAAAGUCUGUCAUCCCAUAUCCUUCAAGCUCUAUUAGUGCAAUCAGAUUGUAAAAUGUGAUAUCAUCCACAUUUAGGUUUCUUUCAAGAUUAUCUCUGUCAUGGAAAUGGAAUCUGACUUCCCACACUUCAUCAUUCAAUCUACAGUUCAAGUAAAGCAAUUCAGUUAAAAGUUCAGUUAAAAGUUCAGUUAAAAAUACAGAUUCAGUUCAAAAUUCAGUUAAAAGUUCAGUUAAAAAUUCAGUUAAUGUUUAGGUGCCUACUACAUACACUUAGAACCCUAGAACUACAUAAACACUUCACUUACAUGUCUGACCACAUAAACAACCUACAACAACAAUAAUGGCGACGGUGCCUACUACAUACACUUAGAACCCUAGAAACCAAAUCGGGGUAUGGAAAGAGAAAACUUACGAGACACCGCCGAAGGAGGAUGCGUAGUGAUGGCUCCCCUCUGGAUCUUCCUUCACGGCCUUGGCGAAUGCCCUCGCCGCCGCGUACUCAGCACAGUAAGACGGCGACGGCGGCUGUGGAAGAGGCGGAGCCUGAGAUGGGUUUGAACUGCCACAAACCUCUGUUGGAUCUGCAGGAGCACCACUGCCACCAGAUGCAUCGCCAGCACCACCGCCACCGCCAUCAUCACUGCCACGCGAGGUGGCCAUCACCGGCGGCAAGCAGGGGCGAGAGAGGAGAGGGGAGCAGGGCGAGAGAGGAGAGGGGAGCGGGGCGAGAGACAGGACAGGGGCGCGGGGGGGACUGUCUGAACCGGACCGACCGCGCGGCGUGUUGACCGUUUUCUUUCCUAACGGCGCCGUUUGCCUGUCCGCACGCCACGUCAGCGUUUUCGCGGCCCACCUGUCGGAAAAGAGAUCAAACGAGGCUAAACGGCUGUUCAGUGCUUUUUGCAACGGGUUAAGAGAUUUUACGGUGUUUUUUGCAACAGAUUAACGACUUGGUAGUUUCCUGCAAACCUAGCCACAAAUGUGGUGGUUUCUUGCAAUUGACUCUCAUGGAAAUUAUGUAGAUAACCAUUAGAACAUCAUAAAAUGGUUUUUACUCAUGCUAGUUUUCCAUGUGCAACUUUAUUAUAGGGUGCAUGGCAUUUUCACUAGUUAGACCAUGGCAUUUUUACUAUUUUAGAACAUGGUAGUUCUAGUUAGUUAGAGGAUGGCAAUUUUUUAAAUUAGACCUUGGCAAUUUGAAGUUAUGUACCGUGACAAAAUUAUUCUUUAGAUAAUGGCAAUUUGAUUAGUUAUACCAAGGAAAAAUUAUUAACUUCACCAUGUUAGUUCAUUUUGUGUGGCAAUGGAAGUUUUCUUUAGACCAUUGCAAAUUUAUUCUUUAGACCAUGGUGCUUUUACUAUUCACACCAUGCUAAUUUUAUUAGUUAAGCCGUGGUAGUUUAUUGUAGCAUGGCAUUUUUGUGCUCCAUUCAAUUUUGUGCCAUGCCAUGUUUAAUAUUAGGCCAUGGCAUUAUUUUAGACCAUGUCAUUUUUAUCAUUUUAUUAGGCCAUGGCAUUAUUUUAGACCAUGUCAUUUUUAUCAUUUUAUUAGGCCAUGGCCAUUUCAAUUUAUGUAGCAUGACAUUUUUACACUUUUCAGUACGUGGUAUUUUUUGUCAUGGCAAUAAUCUUAAAAAUCUUGCCAUGUAACCAAAAAUGAUUUUCCUCCAAACCAUGGCAAUUUUGUAAUUGUGUAUUUUUUCACAUGGCAUUUUUGUAAUGUUUUAAUAGUGUUUCAUAUAUUCUCGUGGAAAUUUUUUACAUUUUUUCCGGUUUCCAAAACAUGGCAUUUCCUGCAAAUUUCUUCUAAUUUUUGCACAUGGUACUUUUAUGAUUUUGUUGUUGUUGUUCACACUAUAAUGGAAAUUAUGUAUGUGUGUUUUCUAUAGACAUUUGGCAAAUUUAUGCUAUAUUGGAUGGAAAAUCUAUAUUUUUUGGUUUGGCCAUGCUUUCUGAUUUUUUUAGAGCAUUUCCUAGUGAUUUUUAGAUGUUUUUUAUUUAUUUUUGUUCAAAAGAAAAUUUGGGAUUGGGCCUGGAGGACCGGAAAAGGCCUAUGCGUCAAAAACGUUCGCUGAGGCAUGCUUAUCCCAGCAUACGAAACGUUUGCUGAAGUCGCGCCCCCCAGCUGACAUCAGACAAUUAUUGCCUCUUGAACAUACUUCCAACACCAUAUCGGAUACAUGACAAAUUUGAAGGAUAUAGUGUCUCGAAGUGGAUUUCUGAUAUUGAUGAGAUAAAGGCACAAGUGGAUAUGUGUUCACACUUGUUAGUGAUGAUGUGUCACGGAAGUCUUGCAAGUAGACCAUCUUAACAAGUUCAACGAUGGAUGAAUAACUCACAUCAUUGGAUUUAACUACCGUCAAAGCAUAAUGGCUUCCCGAGCUCUUAAUGGAUCCGCGAGUGGUUGAAAAGCCUAUUCGAGCUACACUCAUGAACUGUGACAAUCGGACAGUCCUUGUUGACUUGAGUAUCAAAUGACACAUAAGAAAGGUAUUGCCAUCCAGAACAAUCUUGGAAGAACACACCUAGAUGAGCCCCACUGGUAGGGACAGUCUGUGAGGUAGGGUAGUCUCUAGUAAGCUCAUGAAUUGGCCAGGAGUCUAACUUAUAUCCUCCAUUUGCGUGUUAGCCUUCUAUAGGUAGGAACAAUAAGACAACUGCUUUCACGCAAAACUAACUAUUUAAGGCUUAAUCCAUUGUUUAGUUGUGUGUAAGUGUAGCUUCUUGAUUUGAGUGGAUGAUCAACCUUAAUCAAUUCCCAUUGAAAAUACUUGUAUUUAAAAAUAGUGAUUGGAACAAAGGACAACACAGUCCGCUUCUGAAAUCUUGUCGAGGAUUGUUGAAUUAUUAAUGGGCUUUGGGCCCAUGAAUCAAUUAAUUGUUGAUAAAUCCUAGAGGCCCGUUUGUGUUGGCAUGACAUGGUCGAGAAGCUAAGACUCAUCCAAAAAGUGGAGGAGAGUUUGGACCAACAUAUAAGGAACUCUCUUACACAUCACAUUGGAGCAUGAGAAGAGGAGUGUACAUGCGCGCUCCUCCUCGCCUUCUGCCUUGCAACACCAUGCCUCACUCGCGCAUGCUUCAUGUUUUGUGAAGGAGCCAUGCCCCAUCACACACGCACCACUAUCGUUCCUCUCGUUGCUAAUGCUUCCGGCAACUCCAUGUAGUCAACAGCGUGCACGACCAUCCGAGAGACCAUGCCUCCGAGGUUGUGCCUUUUUUUAUCCUGCCCCUGGAGAAGGGUGAUAAGGUUUUUGGGGGUGCUUCUCAGUGUGACAGCUCACGUCCAUCUGUUUCCAUCCACAACAUCGACUACUUCAUCGACUUCCCUGAUUAGGCCAUGGGCGAGAACAGUGAUGCCGCAAAGAAGGUCAUCAAUGUCAAUGCUACCGCGGCCGCCGUCACGGCUUUGACUUUCCAGUGUGAAUGGUAUGAUUUGUUUCCCACCUUUACUAGUUCAUGUGCUUGUAGUACUUACUAUGUUCAUAGAUAUGUCUGUUCUAUGCUCAGUAGAUGCAUGCAUAUCUGGAUUAAAUUGUGAUGUUAAUCUUGAUAGCGUUGUCGUAUCUUUUUCACAUGGAUUAAAUUAAUCAAACAAUUGCGAAUAUAUCCACCAUAUAUAACAAGCAUAUGUGGGAACCCAAUAUAGAAAAAUGAAGUAUAUUGUAAAUCGCUACAUGAAAAAGUUCAAGACAUUAAACAUGGUUAACCACGUAUGCCAUGAAGAGGUACUCCCUCGAUUAGGGUUCAUUAGGGUCCCUUAUAUUUUGCCUCAAACUUUGACCGUAUAUUUGAUUUGCAAAAUAUAAAUGGUGUGUCAUAAAAAUUAUAUUGUUAGAUUCGUAUUCAAAGAAGUUUUCAAUGGUACCAUUUUUGCUAUAUGUAACUCAUAUUUUGUUAAGCAUGUAUGGCCAACUUUGGUUCAAAUUGUAACGGGGCCUAAUGAACCCAGAUGGAGAAAAUACAUACUACUUUCGUUUCAUCAUAAUUAAAGUUCUAAAAUAUAACAAAGCCAACAUAAGUGUUGUCUAAACAGAUCAACACUAACCCCGGGACUGUAGGAAAUGUCUGUCCUAAGAGCAUCUAGAUUUGUGUCAAGUCAAACUUUGCAAAGUUUGAUCAAAUUUAUAUGAAAAAAUACCAACAUUUACAAUACCAAAUAUAUAUGCUAUGAAACUACAUUUCAUAAUGAAUCUAACAAUGUUGAUUUGGCAUUGUAAAUGUUAAUACCAUUUUCUAUAAGUUUGGUCAAAGUUGAGAUACUUUGACUUCGGACAAAACUUAUAUGCGGACUAAAAAGGACCGGAGGGAGUAUGUGAUCCGACAAUAUGAGAGGUGUGAUUGUUUUGCAAGAAAGAUGGGGAUGAAAGCGGACACAGCUGAACAAGACAUUCUCAAUCGUUGUUGUAGACUAGUAGAAUGCCCGUGCGUUAUCACGGGCAAUGGAUAAUUUUUUUUUGCUGGUUGCAUAUAUAAAUAUUUCAGUGGUUCGACACCUGUCGUGUACUUGCAAUUCUUAUACACAUCAACUGAUAUUGUCGAACAUUUCUACAACACCAUAUCCACACCCAGCCACUACUAUCAUAGUGGGUACGUUGCUACUUAGUAAACAAAUAAAUAAUAAUCAUUUUAACUCUACAACAUACCGUAAAUCUAUUGUUAAUGAUGGGGAAUCUACUUGUUUUUUGCUUGUUUGGUGGCAUGGAGCCACCCCUUUAUGUUCUUCCUUCUCUCUUCUUUUUUCCUUCUGUGGCAAUUCUGAGAUUACUAUUUAUGAUCUUGUCUACUCUGAUUGCCAUUUGGCCUUCCGUCGCUCCCUUUCUCAUGCAGAUUUGGAAUAGUGGCAUCAGCUUGCUGCCACCUUCCCCUCGCUCUCGGAGACUUCGGAUUCGGUGGUCUAGCCUCAUUCCUCCUCGGGGUGUUUUAUUGGUGAAGUCGCUUUACCGCAAGCUCAUUUUGGGUUCUAUUACUCUGAAGUUCAAGGGUGUUUGGAGGGCUUGUGUUCUGCUUGAAAUCUAGAUCUUCCUUUGGCAAGCUAUUUGUGGAAAGCUCCAUGCUGCUACGUGUUGGGAUCAAAUUCGGAAGCGUAAUGCUCGGGUUGCGGGUACGUGCUCUCUUUGUUCUCAGCCAGAAGAUUGUAACCAUAUUUUAUCUUCUUAUGAUUUUGCGUUCCUGUUGUGGAGCUGUAGUCGGCGGUCUCCAUCUAGUUUCGCUCAGUUAUUACUUCUUGUCAGUUCUUUGUUUGGGCAGUUGUGGCGUGUUUUCUGGCUUGGCUUUGCUGCAGUCAUUUGGGCUCUCUGGAUGACCCAAAAUAAGUUUACCAUUGAACAUGUGUUUCCUUCGAAAUCAGUUGACAUUAUUUUUAAAUCUCUUAAAGCCUUUGAUUAAGACCUGCGAUGUGGACGCCACAGAUAUGCUUAUCUCACGCGCCAGGGCUAUGGCGAUCUCUCUAUCUCCAAGGGCGCAACCUACUGCUUAGCAAUCGUCAGGUUGUCUUUAGCUAGCUUCUAUUUUUGGUACCUGGUUGUGGCCUGUGUGCCUAAACUUGAACUUGGUCUGUUGGGUUGUGCUGGUUGUUGUGCUGCCGUGGCAUUUGAUUGUAUGGGUGUGACAAUGUUGUGAACCUUCUAUGGCUUUAUUUGUAAAGUGGGGCAAUGGUCUUUUCUCUAAAAAUAAGUGUUUAUCAUUGAUUUGAUGGCACCCAAACUAUUCUUUUAAACGACAUAUCUCUGCAACCCUAUACAAGAAAUAAAGGCAUUUCUUUGCAAAUGGAUCUAAAUCCCAAGGAAUAUUUUUCUGCAAAGAUACUUUUGAACAUUGUAACAUAAUAGCGACAAAUAACUCUGAUAUGCUCCUUGAUUCUGUAUGAUUACAAUAUCCACCUUUCAAAUGAGAACGGGUGUCACCACCACCAUUGCUGAACACAAACUCCCAUUCAUAAUAUUGCUAAGAGUAGUAAAGAUUACAUGAACCCAUCCUAGCAACAGGAAGUACUGCAGAGGGGCAUUGAUGCAUGUAAUCCAUUCCUUGCGCUUCCGACAACAGGAGGCGGAGCCUGUGGAAACACAGAGAAGGAUCAGCCCAAAAGCAUGAUGCAACCCAAUCCAAUGUAAGGGAGAGGGAAAGUGGCACUCCAGCUCUGAAAAAAGACCUCCUUUCUAGAAUUCACCUACACUCGCUGUCGUCGUUCGCUCGCCAAAGGAGGGCUCGGCGUGGACUCGCCGUUUCCAUUCACGCGUUCGGCACGCCCAUCCCCACAGUUGUGGUCGACUACACCAUACCACACCAUCAAGGCCGAUCUCAAACAAUAUUGGUCUUGUCCUCUGUGAUGCCACUGCCCUAGCGCAUGCCAGACAUGUCCUACUAUCGGCUUCAGGACACCGGCCAUGACUUCCAAGAGGAGGAGCACAAGUUUGGCUCCAAGGCCUCAUGGCAAUAGCCGCCAGACCACUGGUUUCACAAGGAGAAGCAAUGGUAGCACCAGCGGACGAGGUUAGAGCAUCUCCAAUAGACGGUCUAUAUGUAAAAAUAACCAACUUUUAAAUCUUCCGAGGCAAAAAAUAUGCACAAAAAUUACAUCUCCGCCUUCCGGUGAUGCAAAAUUCAACACUUCAAGGUGCAAAUUUACAUCUCCAGAGGCAGGAGAUGUAAAAACCGCCGCCGCGCGUCAACGCCCAACUGCUAUUCAUUUCCUUUCCCCCUCCCCACUUCUUCCUCCCUCCCGCCGCCGCCCCGCCACAGCUCCCGUCACGCCCACCCNNNNNNNNNNNNNNNNNNNNNNNNNNNNNNNNNNNNNNNNNNNNNNNNNNNNNNNNNNNNNNNNNNNNNNNNNNNNNNNNNNNNNNNNNNNNNNNNNNNNNNNNNNNNNNNNNNNNNNNNNNNNNNNNNNNNNNNNNNNNNNNNNNNNNNNNNNNNNNNNNNNNNNNNNNNNNNNNNNNNNNNNNNNNNNNNNNNNNNNNNNNNNNNNNNNNNNNNNNNNNNNNNNNNNNNNNNNNNNNNNNNNNNNNNNNNNNNNNNNNNNNNNNNNNNNNNNNNNNNNNNNNNNNNNNNNNNNNNNNNNNNNNNNNNNNNNNNNNNNNNNNNNNNNNNNNNNNNNNNNNNNNNNNNNNNNNNNNNNNNNNNNNNNNNNNNNNNNNNNNNNNNNNNNNNNNNNNNNNNNNNNNNNNNNNNNNNNNNNNNNNNNNNNNNNNNNNNNNNNNNNNNNNNNNNNNNNNNNNNNNNNNNNNNNNNNNNNNNNNNNNNNNNNNNNNNNNNNNNNNNNNNCCUCCGCCUCCGGUCCGGCCCCGCCCGCACCGCACACCGCCGUCCGCCCUCGCCUGCACCGCACGCCGCCGCCCUGCUCCUUCCGCCUCCGCCCCGCACGACACGUCGCCGCCCCACUCCGUCCGCCUCCGCCCCGCUCCCCGCUCGGCUGCCGCCCGCACCACACACAUGCCAACGCAGCAAAAAAAAUCUUCUCGACAGAAGUUGUUGUACUACAUAUAGAAAGUGAUAAUCAACAUCAAGGCAGGGAAGAAAUUGAAAAGAAGACGCAUGCUAAUUGCAUCUAAUUAGGAUAAAGAACAUAGCAAGUAUCACCUGGGAUAGAAAUACAUAAAGGAUCCAUCAACACCCAAGCAUUUUACAAUUAACUGCAUUUAUUUGACAUUAUUUAUCAUAAAAUAAAUUGGAACGAAAUAGUCCGACGUAAAAGGAAGUACUACAGAGGGGCAUUGAUGCAUGUAACCCAUUCCUUGCACGUCCGACAAUAGGAGGUAAUUGCCCGUGCGUUACCAUGGGAGCACAAAUAUUCUAAUGGUUCAAAAUGAAUGGUGUCGAUGAUAUACCAUAUCCUCAAGCACAUCAAGCAACAUUGUCGACCGACAAUGUUUAUUCACCUCAAAACUGUAGUUCAUAUCCACAAAUAAAGCAUUUACAUAUAAUGAAAAUAAAACAUUUGCAAAUAUGACAACUCCUUUGUUAUGAAAACUUCCAUGCAGGUUGAUCUCUCAACUGUUGAAGAUCGUGAACCAACCUAUCGUUGCAUGAUUAGAGGGAUAGUGGUAUCCCCAUCCCAUGAGAGUUCAAAUCCUGGUGCUCGCAUUUAUGCUGAAUUUAUUUCAGGAUUUCUGGUUCAGUGGGAGGAGACAUUCUCGUCGACUACGAGGCGCCUACUAUGACUUCGUAAAAUUUCAAGAUGACAUGUUGGCUCAGUCUCUCGGAGGUGCUCAUAGGAAUAGGGUGUGUGUGCGUGUUCAUAGGAGUAAGUGCAUGCGAGUAUAUAUGAGCGCUUGCAUUUGGAUUGUGUUCAAAAAAACCGUUGAAGGUCCGAUGAUAACUACAAAUAACUUUAAAGUAAUUAUAAAAAAUAAACAAUGAAAAUAAUAAUGAUGUGAUACUAUCCAAGUCCGCUACAAUACAACAUGCCAACCUACACAUCAGGAAUGAGAAAAGUACGAAUAAUUAUGUCUGAUGGUAACACGUGACAAGCUUCCAGCCGCAACCAAACACCAAACAAGAUGAUUCCUACACCAGCUUGUUUUCCCUAAAGUAAAAAUCUGGUUAGCCAUGUCAUAGAAAAUUCACAGUUGGUAAAUUAAAGAGAAGAAGAUGUAACAUACUCGAGCAAAGCGGAAAGCCCUAAAAAGUGCAACAUACAACUUUGCGAUACACAUUUCCAAAAACACGAAAAGAUCAAGGUAGUGCAUUCUUUUGUAGAUAGAAAAAUGUGUUGUAUUCUUUGUAGAUAGAUACACGUGCUCUCAAAUGGCCUGAUAUACUUCACAGCAUGAUAACACUUCGGGUGAAAAAGAUCCGCCACCACGGAGUCAACUGCGCUAGUCUUUGUACCAUGGAGAAUAAGCAUCUUUUUGCCGACCUAGAACAAAUAUUAGAGCAACUGUCUGAUGUGGAGCCAGGGAUUGCUAAUUUCACAACAUACAAGUUUCCUAAGCAUCAGAGCCUUGCAAUAGCAACUAAAUAACCUAGAACAAAUAUUAGAGCAACAGUCUGAUGUGGAGCGAGGGAGAGAAACACAUACUCCCUCCGUUCCAGUACAAAGUUGGGUCAUCUAUUUUGGAACGGAGGAAGUACAUGUCAUUGCUAAUUUCACAACAUACAAGGUUCCUAAGCAUCAGAGCCUUCCAAUAGCAACUAAAUUAAGAUUUACAGGUUGUUAUAUGUACAAAACAUGGACUAUGUGCCAUCAGGCCCUUUUGUGUGUGACUUGGUUCCUAUUAAGAAAAUACAAUGUUGCAAUACGCUUGGCUGCUCAAACAAAUAGGUCAGCAGCGACAGCCAAGACCUCGUCAACUCGCUUCAGCUGCUCGAUUGCAUCUCAAAUUAGACCUGAUCUAUUUAUUAGACCUGAUUACAGUGGCGGCUCGUACAGAUUUCUCUUUGAACAUACUGGCAGCUAGCCUACAAGUUAUCAUGUAUUCACGCGAUUGAUAUACACCCAUGUGAGAAUUGUUUUCGCCCAUCACCAAUUUAGCCAGAGAAGCAAACAUGCAGCUUCUGCUAAUUGAUAAUUGCAGCAGUAAGAAGGCCUGCCAAUUAGCUCUUGCGAUUUUUCUCUGAACAAAGAGGGAAAAACCGGCGCCACACUUUCAAGCACCGCCGUUGUCCAGAUCGAUGUGAUAGGUUCUACACUUUCGCCCCUAUGCACAAUUCACAAAUUAAACACAUGUUCCAGAAGACAUGAAUGCUUGGACAUAUAAGCAAUGGGAUGAACGCUGGUGCGAGGGGGUGUGGUCGGUGGCCGCUGACCGGGUGCGUCGAGGGGUACAGAUGGCGGCGACGGACCAGGGCAGCGAGGUCGGGCAGAGGACUCCGAGUGACGGCCAAGUAAGAAAGUAAGAGCAACUCUAGCAGACCCCGCAAAACGCCCGGCCUGUAAAAAUUUCGGCGAGUAUGCGGGCUCGGGCCAAUUUUCCGGCCAGAACAGAGCCCGCAUACUCGCCCGGCCCACAAAAAAUUUUGCCGCAGCCCACAAACCCCGAGCACUAUAAGUGCGGUUCCGCGACCCUUUUGCGGGUCCAAACCCUAUCCCCCGCCGCCAGCCACCCGAUUCCUCUUUCCCUCUCCCAAUUUCUCGCCGCCGGCGACCCUCCGCCCCGCCUCCAGCCGCCAUGUGGGGGCGAAUGUGGAGCUCCGGACGCGGCUCCGGCAGCAGAUCCGGCCGUGAGAAGGACCCGGAGCGCGAGCGGCGCGUCCGGUCCAACGGCGCGAGGAAGCGCGGCGCCCGGAAGUGGACCAACCACGGGCUGUCGCCGCCGGCGAGCUUCGAUUGCCGUGAGACGGAGGAGUACGACCGCCGGCGCGCGUCCUUCUCCUCCGUGAGGUCUUCCUACGCCGGAUCCUCCUCCUCCGCCGCCGCAGGCUUCCUCCCCGUGAAGAGGGAGUGGUCGGACAAGGAGGAGGAGCCGGAGCCGCCGGUGCCGUUCGCCUUCGUCCCGGUGAAGGAGGAGCCCGAGGAGCCCGCUCCGCUCGGCCGCCGCGGAGUCGUCGGGCCCGAGGACUACAUCGCGGACUUCGACGCCAUCGCUGAGCGGAGCGUGCGCGAGGAGGAGGAGCGCCGGUGCCACGCCGAGGAGCUCGAAGCCCUCGAGUGGCGGCAGGCGGUCGCCGACAACGUCGCCGCCAACGAGAAGGCUGACGAGUGGCGCCGCAUCCGUGCAGAGCAGGCGGAGAAGUACGUCGAUCUGUGCAGCUCCGGCGAGGAGGAUUGAGCGUCCUGCUCCUCCACGGCGUCGUCCAGUUGCCGUGACCUCGCCGCCGUCAGAUCCGACCCCCUAGUACUAGUUUAACGUAGUAUGUAGUAUAGCUAUGCUUAUAGUUUGUUGAUCAUGUGAUGAACUAUGUAGUAUGUGAUGAACUAUGUUUGUGCAAUUUCUACCGCGAAAGUAUUUUUUCAAAUUAUGCAGGUUUAGAUACGGGUUCUGCUCGGCCGCGCAUGUUUUUGACCCGCAAACGCGAUCUUCGUGAAACCGCACACGCAUUUUGCGGGUCGUAUUUUUGCGGGGUCUGCUAGAGUUGCUCUAAGAGGGGCUGGGAUUGGCGACGGCGCUAACCCUAGCGCUCCUGUUCGAGGUUUGGAACGAGAGAAACAGAGCAUGCGUGUGAGUUGAGUUGACGGGCCUGGCAGGGUUUCGAUGGGCUUGGCCCAUGUGCUUGUCAGACGCGAGAGGAGAGGAGGCGAACGGCGGAUGGAUGAAGCGCAGGGCAGGACGCGGUCCCUCGGCAGGAAGAUGCCGAUCGCCAGUGCCGGAUCAGUCGGGUGGAGACGGAGAGGAUGCAAUCCUACUGGGUGACGACCCUCUGACGCCAAUAGCCGCAUGACCAGGGCGAGGAGGCACUUACGCAGGCACAUGGAUGGUGCCACGACCUCCACCUGACCUUGAAUGACACAGGGGAGUCGACGGCAGCCCAGAACUGGAGGGAAGGCGGCGGCUUAUGGGAUGUCGCGACCGUCGCAGCGCCGGUGGAGAGCUUGGGGCGGCAGCGCCGCAAGGGAGCCGGGCGGUGCGUGGAGAGAAGGAUCGGUGAGUUCUGGUGGGAGGCCGCGCUCCUUUUACGGCGCAUCAUGUCACACAAUCAAAUCAGAUCGCGAUCUGAUUUUGUAGGACAGGGAAAAGGCAAAGGUGUCAUGCAAUCAAAUCAUAUCGAAACUUGCCUUCCGUAAACCGGACAGAACGGGAAAAGGGGGUUGGGCGAGACAAACGAACGAUACAAUGACCUACCAUCACGACCACAGUCUCCUCAUUUAGGAGUAGAGAUAGCCUUUGGGUAAUUUAAAUUUAUUACCAUAUAAUUAUCAUAUUCAAAAUUUCCUGAGUUAUGGCCUUACCAUACCUGGAUUGAUAGCCUUUGGGAUAAUUUAAAUUUAUUAUCAUAUAAUUACCAUAUUCAAAAUUUUCCGAGUUAUGGCCUUACCAUACAUGUAUUGAUUUAUUACUAUAAUUAUCAUAUUUGAGAUUUUUGAGUUUAUAGCCUUACCAUACGUGGAUUAAUUGUGAUUGAUUACCAUAAAUACGUUGGUAUUGCCGGCCAGACGAGAAAAGAGGAAAACCGGUGGGAGGGGAUGGUGGGAGGUGGGACGAAAAAAACCUGACGAAAGUGGUGGGACUAUUCAAUCAACUCGUCCAUCUCUACUUCCAAUGGAGCGGUUGGUAGUCUUACUUCCAGGGUUUUUUUCGUCCCACCUUUCAUGGUUUUUUUGGUACCUCCUCCCACCUUCGCUGAUUUUUUUCGUAGAUUUUGUUUCGUCCCCUCCCCUCACUUCAUCGGUUUAUUUUCGCGUCACCCUCUCACAGAACAAAAGAAAUCUGAACAGAUCAGAACUUUCCAUACUGGCGCAAACUAUUUAUUAAUGUAGAAUCAAUCACGAACAAUCUCUAAAAAUCAAAUCUAAAUUAAUUAACCUUACCUUAAAUCACUCGAUCACAUUAAUAAGAAAACAAAUAAUUAAUUUUCAGAAAAAAUUGCUCAAUCACAUUAACCUUACCUUAACUCACGGAUGGUAAUCAAUCUCCAACCAAAGGAAACAAUACAUCGAGGGAGCAGUAAAUAAACUCUCUUUCUUAUGACAUGUAUAUGAUCUUCCCUUCCCUCUCCAUUGUCGAGCGUUCAUGAUUCUCGAGGUCGAUGCUUGGGCUGCGUCACUGGGUCGCGACGGUGCCGGAGGACGAGGACGGCGAGGCCGGGUGCCGCGGCACCGCGUUGUCUGCGGCCGGUGAAAGGGGCGAAGAAGGGCGGCUUCCCUGGCCCUGGCCGUGGCUGUGGCCCUUGGAGUUGGUGCGGUGGAAGCGGCACUUGAAGGACCCGGCGUGGGUGGCCGGUGCACAGACGCACUUGGAAGCGGGCCCGUGGCCCGCGCCGGACGGUGCCGACGCUGACACGGGCCACCUCCUCCGCGUAUUCUUGGAGUUGUGGCUGGCCGAUUUACAUAAAAUUAAUUCCCUUAGUUGUGGUGGCAAAUAUAAUACACAUAAUCCAUAUUGUUAUGCACUCGCGUGUGUGUGUGAAAUAGAUGGAUUAUGGUCCCGUACCCAAUAAGAUGGAUAUGUGUGUGUGUUAGAGAGAGAGAGGGAGAGGGGGGAGAGUGAGGAAGAGGAAGGGAGAGAGUGUGUGUGAGGAUUUGAUGGUAAAAAAGGUCGCCAAUGUCACUUGCAGGGACGGAGCCAGGAUUUCAACAUAGGGGGAGGGGCAAAGUUUCACACUAAGUCUCAUACGCAAUGGCUCUGUUGUAAAAAAAAGGAUCUGGUCUAAUAGAGAUGACAUGGCGUCAACAUACCCUUUUUGUGUCUAUUCAUUGCAUUCACAUGAUCAAAACUUGAUAAAAAAUGAUAAAUGACAAAAGAAAUUCACAACAGUAGAAACACCGGAUAAUCUUAAGAAAUAAUAAUUUGUAAUAAUGCAAUGUGGAUAAAUAAUAUAUUACCUAAUCUCAUUAUUUAUUGGAAUUGGCGAGAUGGACCUCACUGACUCAACACAGUCCCAAAAUCAGAAUCGAAAAUUUAUGAAUUAAUUCUGAUCUCUUCUUCUUCAUGUUUACACAAGCACAAGUAGGAGUGUUAAUUGAUUCUAAAUCUGUCUGAUUAUACUUCUAUAAUUUUUAAAGCAAAGAACUAAUCUUAUGUGAGAAUCAAAUACUCCUACCUUUUCCCCUUGUGUGGUUGUUGUUCAUAAGUGCGUCCGCUCUGCUGGGAACCGGCGACAUGUGCGUGGAUCGACACCUGCGUAUAUCCCGGCGAGGCGGCGAUCCCUUCCCUUCUCCGCUUCUCUUGAUGGUGAGCCGAUGGAGAGAUCCGAUCGCAGUGGCCAUCAGGUGUCAAUUUCGAUAGCAGCGACGGCUUGGAGAGAUUAGCAAUAUGGAAGUGCGUAAUCAGGUCGUGGCUGCGUGCUGCAAUUAAAAGGCCACUUUUCCUUUCACGAUGGCCUGUUAGGCAAUAUUCUUUAUGAUGAUUUUUUUUAUUUUAGCGUGCAAUGGGCUGUACAUGGGCUGAAACUUUCACGUUAAUGNNNNNNNNNNNNNNNNNNNNNNNNNNNNNNNNNNNNNNNNNNNNNNNNNNNNNNNNNNNNNNNNNNNNNNNNNNNNNNNNNNNNNNNNNNNNNNNNNNNNNNNNNNNNNNNNNNNNNNNNNNNNNNNNNNNNNNNNNNNNNNNNNNNNNNNNNNNNNNNNNNNNNNNNNNNNNNNNNNNNNNNNNNNNNNNNNNNNNNNNNNNNNNNNNNNNNNNNNNNNNNNNNNNNNNNNNNNNNNNNNNNNNNNNNNNNNNNNNNNNNNNNNNNNNNNNNNNNNNNNNNNNNNNNNNNNNNNNNNNNNNNNNNNNNNNNNNNNNNNNNNNNNNNNNNNNNNNNNNNNNNNNNNNNNNNNNNNNNNNNNNNNNNNNNNNNNNNNNNNNNNNNNNNNNNNNNNNNNNNNNNNNNNNNNNNNNNNNGUAUGAGAAUAUUAAUAUUGAACUUUUAAAAUUAAUGUGGCCACGUUGCAACGCAUGGGCGUUCUUCUAAUUAGUAGUAAAGAUGCUCUAAUUCCCUUCGGCAAACUUAAAACAACCGAGCAAUUCCACGUGGGACAAUCAUCCUUUGACCACAACUAGGAUCUUGCAACCAUUCCACUAACACAUUCGUGUUCACACCUAGGCAAGCCUGGAUAACAGCACCGAUGAUCCACUCAAGCUGACGCUAAUCUCGGCACAUUCUACACCUAGCAAAGCUAAAACAGCCAAGUAUAAGUUUCUUGGCAAACAAGCUUAGGAGAGUGUGUUUGUUGACCAAAACUCGAAUCUGUCUACUCUGCUUACCAUCCAUCUGCGUCCACACCUGGUCCAAUACCCAACUCUGCACACAGCCCACUUUCCACGUGAGGUGCAUUCAGCUGGUCAGGCUGUUUUGUUUUUUGGCGGGGUGGUCAAGCUCUAUUUUGCUUAGACUUUACUUAUCCCACAGAAUGGUAAUCCAUCUUAUACAGAAGGAGAACAUCUCCCUGCCCCGCGUCGNNNNNNNNNNNNNNNNNNNNNNNNNNNNNNNNNNNNNNNNNNNNNNNNNNNNNNNNNNNNNNNNNNNNNNNNNNNNNNNNNNNNNNNNNNNNNNNNNNNNNNNNNNNNNNNNNNNNNNNNNNNNNNNNNNNNNNNNNNNNNNNNNNNNNNNNNNNNNNNNNNNNNNNNNNNNNNNNNNNNNNNNNNNNNNNNNNNNNNNNNNNNNNNNNNNNNNNNNNNNNNNNGCGCGCGACUCGGGUGCCCUAAUCCCGCCGCCGACCCCAGCCUUCCUCCCUCUCCUCCUCCCCGCCGCCGCCGCCGGGCAAAGCCCGCGUGGUGCCGGCGGCGGCGGGAUUCAUCUUGCCACACCUAGAGCGGUGGUCGCGGGGGACCGCUUCUUCGGCCUGGCGGCGGAUCUCGGUGGCCGGCGCGGCGGGUGGAUGUGCGCUGGCGGGAGAAGGUGCGGACAGUCGCGGCGGUCUGGCGGCGGCGCGUCGCGUGCGCAGGCCGGCGGGACCGCUUCUUCAGCCUGGCGUCGAGUGGCCGACGCGACAGAGAUGCAAGCUGGCGGGAGAUGGUGGAGGGCGUCGCGGCGUUCUGGCGGAGGCGCGUCGCGGUAGAGUGCGCAGGCCAUCUGCGGGUUGGUGCUCCUCGCCGCGAGGGAUUUCGUGCCUGGCCAGUUCCAAGCGGGCCGAUCCGUGCGGAUCCGAGGAUCUCAGGCUGGAUCUGGUGCGUUUUCGGCGCUGGCCGGCGUCCCUGAGGUGCUCACGGCAGGGAGUGCGGCGGUUGUCUCUGGAUCUUUGCGUGGAGCGUAGCAGGAUGGAGGAUGCAGGUGGUGCACCGGCUCUGGCGGUGGCGGCGGUGCGAGUGCAGCCAUGGCGACGGCGGCGCUGCGAGGCCUUGCCAGGAAGGGUCUUGGCGGGCAGCGGGCGUUCGGUUGCUGCCGUGUGAGGCGUGCGGCGAUGCCUUGGCGGUGUGGGUGCCGGAGGGUGGUCGGAGGUGCAGGUCAGAUCCAUUCUGGUGGCAGUCCCCUGGCGUGGGUGAAGGCCACCGUGGCGGAACUGGCUUUGCACCGCUCGGUGGAUGCUGCGUCUCCUAGUCGAUGUUGAAGGCGAUGACUUUAGGCGUGUUCCCUCAGCAGUGAGGAGGGCUUCGAUGGCAAGUUGUUGCGGUGAUGGCGGUGCGAGGCAUCUGAUCGGGACUGGCCGGGAUCUUGGAGACUUGGAGAUGUGCAGAGCUACGGAUGAAAAUCCUGUUCGGUUGUGGCCGGACCGGCGUUGAUGGCACCUGCAGGUGUCAUUCACCUUCCUGGAGGCUUCGCCGAGUGCAACGCCAUCUUCCUCGCGACCUUGUAUCGGCAGCUGUCUCCGGGGCGAAAGCCUUGAUUCGUAGGAUCGGCAUGAUGGCAACGUCUUUGAGGUUGUUACUCUGUUGGGAGCAUUGUGCUGGGAGACUCAAGGUCCCAUGAUGCGCUCCUCCGGUGUUCACCGCUACCCGGAUCUUUCUCCUUCGGCGCCAUGUACGGUCGUCGCUGGCUACUCCAAGGAAGCUAGAGUUGCUGUUCUUCGAAGGUCUUCAGUGUUGGCCGAGACGCGGCGAGGGGCUCGAUGUUGGGUAGGCUUUUUGUGUCGUAGCCGUGUUGUUGUGUUUGGUUGUCCUUGUACGAACUGGGUGUGGAGUUGGUCGCCUUCGCUCUCCGUAGCGAAUGGUAGACGUUGUUGUAUGUCUUUUUUCUCUCCUUCUAUAAAGCUAAGGUAUGCAAUUUGCGUACCCUCGAAAAAAACUUAUCCCACAGAAUACUCCUACGGGGUACGAGCACAAAAAGACAUGAAAAUAUACAUUUUUGCUAGGUGUCAGAUUAAUUCCUAUUGGGAUUUUGAAAAUCCCAUUAAACUCCUUUUUUCAUUUGAAACGAUUGUAUACGGCGCGCCGCUCCGGUCGCAAAGUGAUCAAUGGCUAGAAUUCGUCCCCUUCCUCUCGCGUGGUCGUCCAAAUCCAGAUUCUUCCACCUCUUGCCAUGGAAGCCCCCCUCCCCCCCAAGCUCGAUCCAUACUCUCCUCUUUCCCUCCUACUCCUCCUAUAGCCAUGAGAGCACCUUGUUGUUGUUGCCCCGCCGAGCAUCUCCUCCCCCGAAUCACGUUUUGCGACGGCUAUGCCGCACACUGCAACCGCUGUUUUUUUUGGGACGGUGGUCUCUCGGCUUUGGCUGCUACAUGGUUACAACCGUGACGCGGGCCGCCACAACCGGCGACUCUGGUUGUUACAAGCCGCCGGCAGACCGGACCUGGGAACAUGAGAUGCUACCCUCCACCCCGACAAUGGCGUUUUACUAUGGUUGUGGUCGAGAAAGCUGCAACGGGCAUCCGUAGAAACUGGAACUGGUCACCGGUAGAGCUACAACUAGCAUUUAGAAAAGCUGCAACGGUGACGGCUUGGUGCUAGGACGGAGAGCUGGAACCGACGACGCCGUUGUUGCAACUGUAUGUACAUUUUUGCUGGAACUGGCCGGUGACAAAGUUGGAACCUUGACCGCAAGAUGCUACAACCGGCAUGGUGUUUUGCUAUAGUUGUCGUGGAGAAAGCUGCAACGGGCAUUGGCAAAAAGCUGGAACCGAUCACCGGGAGAGCUACAAACGGCUUCUACAAAAGCUGCAGCAGUGACGACUGGGCGAGCCACUGCUACAACCGGCAAUGCUGUUUGCUACUACCAGGGCCGGCAAAUGCUGCAAUCAAUCAUGGUGCAGAAUCUCCGUCGGCGAGGAGCUACGAUGGGGACUGUAGCCCUUGACGGUACAACUCGAUGAACCUUGGCACACGGAUGUCCCUUCGAAGCCAUGGCGGCACCCCUUUGCGCAGAGCUCGAGGACCAUGGCAUGGCGUUCCUUGGCAGCCAUGGCGGGUCUGCGAGGGCGGCGAGCUUGGGUGUGCGGAGGUGCUUCGAUCUCCGGCGAGGGUCAACGAUGCUCACCGCAGCCCCCCCCCUCUCUCUCUCCGGCGUGCGGCGGCUGCUCCCUUUUUUUUGAUUGAACGAUGCGGGAGAAGGAAGAAGCGAGGAGGAAGGAGGGGACGACACAGGAGAGGGGGCUGAAUCGCGCGGCCUGGGACACAAGCAUCGUGUGGCUGCGGUGCGACUGGCCGAAACUUUGGGCCGGCGCGCCGGCGCCUAGUACCGCCCUUUUUUAAUAGUAGGGGAAAUACUCUCGUCUAAAACAUACACUUAGUUAAUCUUUGCGUUCAAGCAACUUAACGAAAAGGGUCUGGCUAGGAAUCAGUCGACUGAGACUUCGCGAAGUCUCAGUCGGCUGACGUCAGCGUACAUUUUUUAUGGCGCAGCACUUGUUUUCAGCCAGGUUUUGUUACUUUUCCUAGAGGAACUAAGCCAGAUUUUGCUCUACGCAUCGCUGCUUGUUUCUCCACUCGCGAUCGUUGCAUGGGCCUGCAGAUCGGCCCAUUUUUCUUCUUUCGCAUUGCACGUCACGUGCUCGUGCUAUGUUCCUUCUCUUUUUUUUUAGAUCAAUGUUCCUUCUCUUCUUUUUUUAAGAUCUAUGUUCCCUCUCUUCUCUGUGUACUUCUCGCAUAUUUUUUCUCAUCAUUUUUUAAAAUGGGUUUGAGUUGUAUAAAAAUAUAUUUUAUGACAAAGAAGUAAAAUAUCAAAAAUGGAAAAAAGAACACAAAAUAUAAUUCCUACUCUCCAUAUCAUCUUGCUCGCUCUUUGUUUUUCAUAUCAUUCUUCAAAAAACAAUUUGUAUUGUAAAAAAGAUCUUUCAUGUUAAAAAAAUUAAAAACAAAAUAAAAAACUCAGUUGCAUGUAGGGUCUGUCUAGGUCUCCAUUGACUGAGACUUCAUGAAGACUCAGUCGACUGAUGACAUCAGCAUACGUAUAUGACAUCAGCACAGGUACAAACCAGACCUGCUUCGUUUAUGUGACUGUUUGUGUGUUUUUGCUGUUAUGGGCUGGCUUUGUACUUCUACUAGGCCUUUAUCUCAUCUUUUUCUUUUCCCUGCGAUUUGUUGCUUUUUGCCGGAUUUUUUCCUCUUCUUGUACUUGGGCUGUACGACUGCAAAUAUAAUAUGUGUUUUGCUAUCCAGCUACAACCUCAGCGUUUCUCAAAAAAGCUACAACCUCAACGAGUGAGGUAACUUUUUUUGUUCAAAUCAUAGCAUUUUUUCUGGAAAAAUUCUUGUAUAUGCAAUACAGUGCAUGCUUGUAGUGUUUUUUUAGAUGGGCAUAUAACUUAUUGUCAUUUGUCGUUCAUAAAAAAAUACAAAGGAUUUGAACACAAAGAAACGAUAUUGAAGAAACAAUAAUAAUUUUGUGCUUCCUAUUGCUUGCUGACGAGCUAUGAAGUUGCUGCCCGCGGUUGUUAAAGUACGUAAGGACAAAGGACAACACACACAGGUAUAUAUAGUGUAUACAUCAUUUUUGUUACAUGAACAAUUUCAAAAAAUUACAUGAACAUUUUUUAAGAACCGUGAACAGUUUUAAAUUUUAUGGACAGUUUACAAUAAAUAUGAAUUAUGUUUUCAAACACAUAAAUACUUUUAUAAAAUACAUGAACAUUUACUAAGAAUUGCAUGAAUAAUUCUAGAAAAUGUUUCAUCGCGUAUUGAAAAAAUGUUCACCGCAUAUCGGAAAAGUGCUCAAUAAUUAUUUUUAGAAAAAACUUGAACAUGUAUUUUUUAAAUAUUCAUAUACACACAAGGAAAUAUAUUUCUACUAAUGGGAAAUGAAAAUCAUAUUAAAGGGGGAAAAGAGCAAAUUAACCAGAUAAACAAGCGGAAAAAAUAAAAAUAAUAAAAUAGAGAAAGGAAAAUUAAAAAUGAAAAACAAAGGAUAAAAACAGAAAAAGGGGAAAAGGAAAAAGGGAAUGAGAAGAAAAACUGAAGUUAAAAAAUUAGGAAACAAAUUCACAGUUGCAGUCUUGUUGUAUCGCUCGCAUUUGCGGGAUGAUUGUGACACAUGCAGUUGAAGGUUUAGCGGUAUACAUGCAAGUGGCCAAUAUCCCUUGGCGCAAGUUGCAGUCGAGCACAACACUUGCAGUUGCGUGCCUAGUGACAGACAUGCAACUGCCGCCCUACCCCCGAUAAACACCACAGAGUUGCAGUCGGGGUGAUACUUGCAGUUGCAUGCCUAGUGGUAGACAUGCAUCUGCCACCAACCAUUCACAAAAAUACCACAAAGCGCAUAGUUGUAGUCGUGUUGCACACAUGCACUUGUACUCAGGGACGACACUGGCAGUUGCGUGCCAAGUGGCAGACAUACAACUGUCCCUCCCCACUGGCAAACACCAUAGAGUUGCAGUCGUGGGCGACACUUGUAGUUGCAUGUCUAAUGACAGACAUGCAACAGUCCCUUCCCCAACAAAACACCACAAGUUUGUAGUAGCGUCGAAGACAUGCAGUAGCACUCUGGGGAAAACUUCCGAUUGCGUACAUUUUAAGACGACAUGCAACUGCCCCCUCCCCACCAACAAACGACACAGAGUUGUAGUCGGGGGACGAACUUGCGGUUGCAUGCCUAGUGACAAACAUGAAACUGCCCUCUUCCAGCAAAACACCACAGAGUUACAGCCGCAUUGAAGACAUGCAGUUGCACUCGAGAAUGACACUUACAGUUGCAUGCCUAGUGAUAAACAUGCAAUGCCCCUCCCCCGACAAAACACCAUAAAGUUGCAGUUGCAUUGAAGACGGGCAUUUGCACUUGGGGGCGACACUUGGAGUUGCGUGUCUAAUAGUAGACAUGCAAUUGCCCCUCCCACCGACAAACACCACAGAGUCGAGGGCGACAUUUGCAGUUGCAUGCCUACUGUCAGACAUGCAAGUACCCACCCCCCCUCCUGUCAUGCUCCGACAAAAAAGGUCAAUUGCAGUUGUUUGGGUAGAGUACAUGCAGUUGUAUUCUGGGGCAACACUUGCAGUUGCAUGCCUAGUGUCCGACAUGCAACUACCUUACUGCGCCCACACACACUCUCCUGCCGCCCUCCAGCAAAACAAGGGUCGANNNNNNNNNNNNNNNNNNNNNNNNNNNNNNNNNNNNNNNNNNNNNNNNNNNNNNNNNNNNNNNNNNNNNNNNNNNNNNNNNNNNNNNNNNNNNNNNNNNNNNNNNNNNNNNNNNNNNNNNNNNNNNNNNNNNNNNNNNNNNNNNNNNNNNNNNNNNNNNNNNNNNNNNNNNNNNNNNNNNNNNNNNNNNNNNNNNNNNNNNNNNNNNNNNNNNNNNNNNNNNNNNNNNNNNNNNNNNNNNNNNNNNNNNNNNNNNNNNNNNNNNNNNNNNNNNNNNNNNNNNNNNNNNNNNNNNNNNNNNNNNNNNNNNNNNNNNNNNNNNNNNNNNNNNNNNNNNNNNNNNNNNNNNNNNNNNNNNNNNNNNNNNNNNNNNCUAGUGUCAGACGUGCAACUUCCCCCUCUCCCGCCACACUCCGACGAAACAAAGGUCUGUUGUAGUCGGAUGGGUAGACAUGCAAUUGCAGUCGGGGCGACACUUGCAGUUGUGUGCCUACAGUCAGACAUGCAACUACGCCCCCCUCCCGAUGUCCUCCAACAUAACAAAAAGACUAGUUGCAAUCGGGUGGGUAGGCAUGCAGUUGCAGUCAAGGAUGACACUUGCAGUUGCAUGCCUAGUCUGCAACUACCCCCUCUCCUGCCGCCCAUCGACAGAACAAAAGUCAAUUGCAUUCGCUUGUAGACAUGCAGUUGUAGUCAAGGGCGACAUUUGCAAUUGCAUGCCUUGUGAAAAACAUGCAACUACCCCUCCCCUCUUCCACUGUUCUUCGAUAGAACAAAGGUCAGUUGUAGUCGAGGGCGACACUUGCAGUUGCAUGCCUAGUGUUAUGUAUGCAACUUUACGGUGCGCUCGUGAAAAAAAACAUAGCACAUAAACACAAUAAAAAAUUAUUUUUGGGUAAUACACAAAGAAACAAAGUAAAAAAAUAUAGACAAGAUACAAAUAAGCAAAUAAAGUAAAAGUCCAUGUAGAAAAGGCAACGACAACUCAGAAUAAAAAAAUUAACACAACAACAUGUGAGAAUAAAAAUUGUUCAUGUGUGUCAAAAUGUAGUUCUUAAAAAAUUGAAUGUUCCAUAUUUCCUAAACAAGAAAGAUAAUAAAUAAAAAAUGGAAAUACAAGUAAAGAAAUAAAAGGAAAAUCUACUAAAAAUAAAUGAAAAAAGAAAGUUAAAAAGCUAGACAAGUACACGUGUAUACUGUAUACAUACACAUAAAGUCAGCUGCCCCAUUAACUUUCUUUUUCUGUACAUACACGGUGCACACAACCCAGCAAAAAAGAAGAAGAAAACAUACAAAGAUUUACAUGGACAGCUAUGACAAUAUAAAAACAGAAAAGCACAAGAGAACGAGCUGCAAGCCACAAUCCACAACCCACGUAGCGGAAGGCAUACUAUGCUGCUGCCAGCCUCUCAUAUAGGAAAAGCCUAGUGUGUUUUGAAAAAGAAAACACAUCAGCGACUGAAUACAGUUCGAUGAAACUUGGCGGCUAAUCUCGUCGACCGAGACUUUGUAAAGUCUCAGUCGACUGAUUUUUAGCGUUCCCCUUGCAUGUAAGAGAUGCAACCGGCCACCGCCGAGGGGAGUUGCGUGUCAAGGGUUAACAUGAAACUGAAUAAAAAGGGCAUACAACACCCCCACCUCAUUUACCCCCCCCCCACCCCCACACACAAAGUUGCAGUUGUGCUGAAGACAUGCAGUUGGAGUUCGUGUCGACAUAUGCGGUUGUCUGUCUAGUGGAGGACAUGCAACUCCCCCCCUUCACCGACGAACCACUACUAAGGUGAAAAUCGUGUUGGAAAAUGUGAGGUUGUAGUCAGUAGUUGUGUGCCUAGUGGCAAAUAUGCAACUACCCCCUCCCUCGGACAAAAACACCACAUAGUUACAGUGGGAGGCAACACUUGUAGUUGCACGCCUAGUGGCAGACAUGCAACUGCCCCUCCCGACAAAAUACCACACAGAGUUGCAGUCAGGUGAGGCACUUGAAGUUGCGUGCCUAGUGGCAAAAAAACUGUCCACUCACCCCGAGAAAAAACAUCACAUAUGGUUGCAGUCGGGGCAAGACUUGCAAUUGCAUGCCUACUGGCAGACAUGCAACUACCGCUUCCCGAAAAAACACCACAGAGUUGCAGUCAUGUUGAAGAUAUGAAGUUACAGACGGGGGGCAAUACUUGCACUUGCAUGCCUAGGGAUGAACAUGCAACUACCACUCCUAGAAAACAACUUAGAGUUGCAGUCAGGGGCGACACUUGCAGUUGCGCGCCUAGUGGCAGACAUGCAACUGCCCUCUCCCCCCAACAAAUAACAUCACAUAGUUGCAGACGUGGGCAACACUUGUAGUUGCAUGCCUAGUAACAGACAUGCAACUGCCCCUUCCCAACAAAACAACAUAGAGUUGCAGUCACAUUAAAGACAUGCAAUUGCAGUCAGGAGCAAUACUUGCAAUUGCAUGCCUAGUGAUUGACAUGCAACUUCGAUUCCUAGAAAAUACCUCAGAGUUGCAGUCAGGGGUGACACUUGCAGUUGCGUGCCUAGUGACACAUAUGCGACCACCUCACUUUCCAGACAAAAACACCACAGAGUUGCAGUCGGUGGCAACACUUAAAAUUGCAUGCCUGGUGGUAGACAUGCAACAAUCCCUCCCGACAAAACACCACAGAAUUAUAGUUGCAUUAUAGAGAAGCAAUUGUAGUCGGGGGUGACACUUUAGUUGCAUGCGUCCCUAGUGUCAGACAUGGAACUUUCCUUCCUCCACAAAAAAACACGACAUAUUUUCUUUUGGGGGCAACACUUGCAGUUACAUGCCUAGAGGCAGACAUGAAACAAUUCCUCUCCCCCCCGAUAAAAACACCACAGAGUUGCAUUUGUGUUGACUACAUGUAGUCGCAGUCAGGACUGACACUUGCAGUUGUGUGGCUAGUGGCGCACACAUGCUACUGCCCCAUCCACAGACAAAACACCACUGAGUUGCAAUCGCGUUGAAGACAUGUUGUUGCAACUGGAGCGACACUUGUAGUUGCAUGCCUAGUGGUAGAUAUGCGAUUGCCCCCUUCCCCGACAAACACCACUGAAUUUUUGUAGCGUUGAAGACAUAAAGUUGCAGCCCGAGGUGACACUUUGCAGUUGUGCAGCUAGCAGCAUAUAUGCAACUACCCCUACCUCUAGUAAAAAACCAGUGAGUUGUAGUCACGUUGAAGACAUGAACUUGCAGUUGGGGUGACAUGUGAAGUUGCAUGCUUAGCAACAAACCUGCAACUUUCGCGUCCCUUAAUAAAACACCAUAGACUUGCGGGCAUGCUUAAGACAUGCAUUUGCAGUCGCAGGGGUGGAGAACACUUGCAGUUGCAUAUAUAGAGCUAGACAUGCAACUACAGAAAAGAGACAUUUUCUCCUCGGAACAGAAAAAAAAUGCAUUUAUUCCCCGUGGAAUGAAUCAUAUUUGUGUGUUUUUUUUCAGGCGAUGGGACAAUAAAAAAAUGCAACCAUUAGUGUUGUCAGGUUUGUGGACACGAGCUAUUACACGUACAUUUAUCAGAGCAUCCACCCCUAAAAAAACCUAGAAAAGACGAUAUUAUCGCACACAUACACCCGAAACAUGUAAUUUGCAUAGACGUCAAAAAGCCUAAGGCAAAAAAAAAACCAAAAAAGGAAUGAUUCGGAAACCCCACAGACCGACACCGCAUGCACGCGAAAACGAGAACAAACCAAACGUGCCACACGGAAAACCAUAAAGCCCACUGGGAGAAAGCACAAGACUUAUUACAUUUCAUUUGACGUGUGAAGGACUUAAAUACGCGUUAGACAAUAGUCAUCCAGAAAUAGCAUAAUGCACGAUUUUAAGCCGUGCUCCAAAAAAGUAUCAAUAAAAUAAGAAAAAUAAAAAUAAACUAAAAGAAGAAAAUAGAAGUGACAUAAGAAAAAAAAUAGAAACAGAUUUUUUAAACAAAAACAGCAGAACAAAAAAUCUAUAUAACGGUUUGCGAGUUGACAAAGAUUUAGCAAAGCCAAAACAAAAUGAAUGGGUUGAUAAAUAAAAUAAAAAACAAAAUGACUAAAUUUAAACAAAAACAAAAGGAAAAUAAAAAAUAACUAAAGCUAAUAAAUACUAGGUAUGUGAAGUUUAUACCACUACUCAAACCUACACGUUGCAAAAGUCGUUGAUAAUACAAAAAAAGGCCAAAAGGGGUCACACGACCCUCUCGAUCAAAAAGGAGAAACAGGAAAAAGCAAUGGCAUCACUGCUCACGGAACAAAAAAUAAUCACAUAGAAGCCCAAGUACACGAAUGAAACGACGGCCCAGGAAGAAACGAAAAGCCUAGAAGAAAAGAUACGAACAAACAAUCGAUGGUCUAGUUAGGGCCGAGAUAGCGAACAAAUUCCACGUAACUCAGUCGACUAAGACUUCAGUAAUUCUCAGUCGACUGAGAAUUAGCACAACCGAUAAAUUAUGGGUCUGUCUAGGUCUCAGUCGAAGUCUAAGUCGACUGAUGUCACCUAAGGCAGAUUAGGCCUGUUUGUUUACUCGAUAGUUGCUGGGUUUUAUUCUUAGCUGGGCCUUUUUCGAUUCUCUCUUGUUUGUUUGUUUGUUUAUUGGGUUGGGCUGGGCUGAUUGUUUCUGUUGGAAGAUGCCCGUCGCCUGUAUAACAGAGGGACCGUGUCCCCCGCCAUGUACAUGAUCUGUAACUGCACGCCGUGCUCCACUCCUAUGUGCACGUUGUGCAUGCCCGUACAUAGCUAGCUUCCUGUUAUGAUGUACUCUGUAUAAAUCCCCUUUGUGGGCUCAUUGAAUGGACAAGCCAAGUUUCUAUUCUCCAUCUGUUUCUUUGUCUUUGUUUUUUUUCUUGACAUGGGAAAAAAUGUUCAACAAGAGAAGUAAAUAAAACAACAUUUUUCUGUCGCCAGUCUAGCUCAUCGUUCAGUCCUUCUCUUCCUGCGUCAUCUUGCUUCUCUUUUUUUAUUUUAUGACAGUUUGUAUAUUAUGACAAAAAUCAAUCUUUAAUGUAACAAAGAAACAAAAUGAAAACAAGACAAACUAAAUAGUGUGGCACUUUUUUUCAAAAGAAAAGAAUAUUAAGUUGCAUACAAAUGGAGGACAUGCAAAUGUGUGCAUCCAACGUGGGUUGCGUUGUUUUUCUUAACAAUCAAAAGAAGAAGAAGAAUACAAAUUCAAAACACAACGGUAAAAUUGAAAUAAAAAAGAAAGUAGAAAAAGUAAAAGAAAAGGUCAAUAAUAAGUCUGCAUAGCAGGCCGCCCAAGCCGAGUCUGUAGUUGCAAAAAAAAAGUCAGUUGCAGCCGGGGGCGACAUUUGCAGUUGCAAGCCUACUAUCGGACAUCCCGUUGCAGUCGAGGGCGACACUUGCAGUUGCAAGCCUAGCGUCGGACAUGCAACUCCCCCUCCCCCAACAUGACAAAAAGUCCAAUUGCAACCAUGUUGAAAGACAUGCAAUUGCAGUCGGGGGUGACAUUUGCAGUUGCAUGUCUAGUAGUGGACAUGCAACUGCCCCCAACCCCUCCCGAACAUGCAACUACCCCACCCCCUCCCGCCGCCCUCUGACAAAAACACAAGACCAAUUGCAUUCGGGGGCGACACUUGCAGUUGCAUGCCUUGUAUUGGACAUGCAGCCGCACCCCACUCACCUCUCUCGCCACUCUUACAAAACAAAGGUUAGUUGUAGUAGUGGUGUGUGGACAUGUAGUUGCAUUAGGUGGCGACACUUGCAGUUGCAAAGCCUAGUGUCGAACAUGCAACUACCUCCUCUCCCGACGCCCACUUACAAAACAAAAAUGUCAGUUGCAUUGGUUGUGUAGGCAUACAAUUGCAGUCGAGGACGACACUUGCAAUUGCAAGCCUAGUAUCGGACAUGCAACUCCCUCCCUCCAUGUCGCUCCCUUAAAAAACAAAAAAAAGGUCAGUUGCAGUCGAGUGUGUAGGCAUGAAGUUGCAGUCGAGGGUCACACUUGUAGUUGCAAGCCUAUUGUCGGACAUGCAACUCCCCUCCUCUCCUAUCGCCCAUUUAUAAAAAAAUGUCAGUUGCAGCCGGUUGUGUAGGCAUGCGGUUGCAAUCGAGGGCAACACUUGAAGUUGCAAACCUACUGUCACACAUGCAAUUGUAGUCGAGUUGAAAAUGAGCGCUACCGACUCCUCCAAAAAAAAGUGCUACUGAACAGAUAUAAGGAAUAACAAAAAAAUUUAAAAAAAACUAGAAUUAUCAAGAAACAAAUAGGAAGACAAAAUAUAACAAAAAAUUAAUGAGACAAAUGCACAAAAAAGAUGAAGGAAAAUAAAAAAUAAAAUCAAAGAUAUACAAAAGAAUAAAUGAAAAAGAAAACAAACAAAAAAUAAAAAUUACAACCCCACAAAAUAAAGCUCACAACGAAAAAAAUGCCAACCCUGUCCAACGCACAGGGCAAACACCAACCACGACACGAAAACAAACAGACGCAGCCCAAUCCCGAUCUUCAUUCAUGGGCCAUUUCCAUUAAACAUCAGUGUUGAACGGAUCUUAAAGCAGCAAAAAAAUCGAACGGACAGGGGCGUCGAGAUUUAGCAGCGCCCUAACGAAAAUAUGUCAUGCAUCCGAUCGAAACAGUGGUACCGUGCAGGGCGGGGUACGGGUAGGAACAAAUAUGUCAUGCUCCACAGAUUCCGUUUGUGAUGCACCCGUUCACACCCACCACGUGCACGCUGCAGUCACGGAGUGGACAGCAGAGUGAUCCGACGAGCCAACUUCCCGCAGAUAAGUCUCGCCGCGAACCUACAAAUACCGCCACGCUCCACCCAGUCACACACCGACAAUCUACAAGCGACAAGCACCAGCACCACGGCUCGACUCAACCAGCCACACGCCGUCACACCGAUCAUGGAGCCCGGCCGCGAGCCCACCGGCACGAUCGUCUUCGCCUCCGUCGGGGUCACCAGCUUCGGCUUCGACGUCUUCUCUGUCGCCGCCCCGCAGACUCCCGAGAGCGCGUCCGCAGCGGGGCUGGCGGAGCUCCGCCACACGGACGGCGUGUCCGUCAACUUCAACGCCCAGUUCGCGGACGACGGCGGCGAGGAGGUGGCCUUCGUGUCCGAGCGGACCGGCUCGGCGGGCCUGUUCCUGUGCCGCCCCGGGUCCGAGCGCGCCGUGCCGCUGCCGGCCGUCGAGGGGAGCCUGUUCCACGACCGCCCCACCGUGAGGGGCGGCCGGCUGUACUUCGUCUCCGCGCACGAGAAGCCGGCCGCGUGGUUCAGGAGCUGGGCGGCGGUGUACGCGACGGACCUGGCAAGCAAGGGCACGGUGCGGGUCACGCCGCAGGGCGUGGCAGACAUGAGCCCCGCCUUGUCCGCGUCCGGCCAGCUCCUCGCCGUCGCCUCGUACGGCGAGAGGCCGUGGGCGUUCGAUUUCCACGAGCUCGAGACGGAGGUCGCCGUCUUCCGUGCCGCCGACCCCGCCCGCCGCGUCGUCGUCGCUGCUCGGGGCGGCUGGCCGACCUGGCACGGGGAGGGCACGGUGUUCUUCCACCGUAUCGCCGAUGACGGCUGGUGGAGCGUUUUCCGGGUGGACAUCUCGCCGGAGACUCGACAGCCCCGCGGCGCCGAGACGCGCGUGACGCCGCCGGGCGUGCACUGCUUCACCCCUGCCGCCGCGGGCAGUGGCUGCCGUUGGAUUGCCGUGGCGACGCGGCGGAAGGGGCGGGGGCACCGCCACAUUGAGCUGUUCGACCUCGAGACGGAGCAAUUCACCUCGGUUACCUCUCUCCUCAACCCGGAGCUGCACCACUACAACCCAUUCUUCUCGCCGUCCGGCGAGCGCCUCGGGUACCACCGCUUCCGCGGCGCGGGCGCGCCGGGCGACUCGCUGAUCCCGUACCUGCAGCCGGUGCGCAGCCCGGUGAGCUCCAUCCGCAUGCUCCGCGUGCACGGCUCCUUCCCGUCCUUCUCGCCGGACGCGAAGUACUUGGCCCUCAACGGCGACUUCUUCAAGUCCCCCGGCGUGACGAUCCUCCGCGCCGACGGCUCCAAGCGAUGGGUGCUCGCCAAGCAGCCCAACCUGUUCUACACCUCGUGGAGCCCCAGCGAGAGCGGGGUGGUGUUCACCUCCGCUGGCCCAAUCUUCGAGACCCCGAAAGCGACGGUCCGGGUGGCGCGCAUCGAGUUCGACACGAGCGACCUCACCGACGACCGCGGCGACGUCGACGUGGCCGUGAAAGAGCUGACCCGGCCGGAGGCAGGCAACGACGCGUUCCCGGCGGUGUCGCCGUGCGGGCGGUGGGUGGUGUUCCGGUCCGGCCGGUCGGGCCACAAGAACCUCUACAUCGUCGACGCGGCGCGCGGGGAGGAGACGAUACGGAGGGUCACCGAGGGCGAGUGGAUCGACACGAUGCCGAGCUGGUCGCCGGACGGGAAGCUGAUCGCGUUCUCCUCCAACCGGCACGAGCCGGCCAACGCCGCCGUGUUCAGCAUCUACCUGAUGCGGCCGGACGGGACAGGGCUGCGGCGGGUGCACGUGGCCGGGCCGCCGGGGAGCGCGGAGGCGGACAAGGAGCGGAUCAACCACGUGUGCUUCAGCCCGGACGGCGAGUGGCUGCUCUUCACGGCCAACCUGGGCGGCGUCAUGGCCGAGCCCAUCUCGGGACCGAACCAGUUCCAGCCGUACGGCGACCUGUACGUGUGCCGGCUCGACGGCUCCGGUGUGCUCAGGCUCACCAGCAACGCCUACGAGAACGGCACGCCGAUGUGGGGGCCGGCGCUGGGCGUGGAGUCGCUGUCGCUGGGCGCUCCCGCCGCGGACGAUUCGCUGGGCGAGUUCGACGAGCCGCUUUGGCUCAGCUGCGACGUGUGAGGGGCAGGGAUGGUCGUCGAUUGAUGGGUGCAGCCACGGCGGUUUCGGGUGGCUUCGGUCGAUAAUAAUUUAAUAGUGGUGCGAAUGAUCCUCAUUCUGGUUGAUGGUGUUGUCAGACGUUUUGUAUUGUUGCUAAGUAAUAAAACCAAGUGCUUGUGUGGAAUCCACUAUGUGUUGUCAGCUAAAGUAGUGACACUGAUAAGGGUCGACGUAUGUACUUCUGCCUGAAGACUCGGUCGGACCACGAGUUUUUCUCGUCUUUCUCCUAAAGCCGAUGCAGAAUUUGUUGGUCGGCAUGUAACCAUCGAUCAAUGUUAAGAGUAGUUAUUAUGGUAUACGACUUCUAGUCCAAAUCAGUUUUGUACCCCUAUCCCAAGUCGGUUUGUACCCUUUUAUAUACUUUGUAUGCCGCACCAAAUCAUCAACAAGCAACAGUUUUAUUCAGCUUUCAUGGUAUCAGAUACCGGUCCUAGGGUUUAGGGUAUGGCUCUGCCAACGCCACCAUCGCCGCCGCCGCCCGGCUACUUCGAGCGCCGGGCCGCACUCAUCGCCAAGGCUGCCAACGCCGCGGCCGCUUCUCUCUCGGCCCUCACCAUAGCUCCACAAAACUACCCUGCACCCAUCCUCGCCGCACCAAUAUCUCUUGCUGACACAAUCUCCGACGUCUGCCCCUACAUCCCCAUAGUUCUUGAUCUCGCCGCCCACAACUACUACCAUUGGAGACAUCUCUUCGAUCUCCACCUCGGCCGCUGCAACCUGCGCUCGCAUGUCGCCGCCAACUGUCUUCCCCGCCCCGACGAUCCGCAAUGGUUGAAAGACGAUCUCGCGAUCGUCCAGUGGUUCUACACCCGCAUCACCACCGAGAUCUUCAACAUGCUCGAUCACGACGGCGCCACCGCUGCCAACAUCUGGCACUCCCUCCGUCAGCUCUUCCAAAGCAACACCGACGCUCGGAAAAACGCUCUCCACACCGAGCUUCGCAAUAUGGUGCAAGGAGACGCCCCGGUGAACCUGUUCUGCCAGCGCGUUAAGACCAUUGGUGAUGAGCUCCGCGAACUCGGCGAUACAGUUAGCGACUCACAGCUAAUCAAUAUCGUCGUCGUCGGCCUCAGCGAAGACUUUGACAAGCAAGCCUCGUUCAUACCGAUGAUACGGCCCCCUCCUACCUUCGCUGAAGUUCGUUCCUUGCUACAACUCGCGGCGGAAGCACAAACUCGCAAGGACUCUCGCCCCAAGGUCUUUCAUGCUGCGGCUCAUCCUCCUCUGUCGUCUACACCAGCGCCGCCUUCCAGGCCGGCUCCUGCCGCCGGGCCGUCCGCAUCGUCAUCUGUUCAACCGCCCCUAGGCUGGCGUCCUAGCCCGAACUACCGCGGCAAAAACCCUAUCUACAGGCCGCCGUCGACUCGUUCGGUUCCGCCUACGACAUCACCAGCACCGAGUCCUGCACCACCCACCAGUGCUCCAUCUUCGGUUGCAUGGCGGCCUCCUCAUGAUCCUUGGACGGGGCUUGUUCAAGCAUGGCACAUGCCCUGGUCCGCUCCAUCCACCCUCGGUGCUCCGCCGGCAUACUCAGGUGCCUGGCAACCCGGCCUUCGGCCGCCUACUGGUGCUCCCGGGGUUCUCAACCCCGACAGCCGGCCAAUGCCUAUCACGCCGCCCCGACGUAUGCUCCUUAUGGUCAUUACAGCACCGACGGCGGCGCCUACUACACAUCUCAGCCGGCCCUGCUCCCGACGCCACCCCCACCACAGCCGGCCAAUGCCUACUACACUCCCCAGCCGGCACUGCUUCCGACGCCACCCUCACCUGCGACACCGAGCUGGGAUCAAGCUGCCUUUCUCUAGGCCAUGAAUAACUUUGCUGCACAAGGAAACUCAGGUACGGAUUGGAUCUUUGAUUCAGGGGCCUCUAGUCAUAUGUCUGCAUCUAGUAAUUGGUUAUCUUCUUGCACUAAAUCUCCUUUCCCGUCCAUUAUCCUUGGAGAUGGAUCAUCUAUUCUAUAUAUUGUGUUGGUCAGGCUCAACUUCCCUCUUCCACCAAACCUCUUUUACUUCGCGAUGUUCUAGUUGCACCCGCCCUCAUUAAAAAUCUUAUCUCUGUUCGCCAAUUUACUUGCGACAAUCUAGUUUCGGCUGAAUUUGACCCUUUUGGUUUAUCUGUAAAGGAUUACCUGACCAAGGCCGAGAUCGCUCGCUUCAAUAGCUCCGGUGAUCUUUAUUCUCUUAAUGGAGUUCCUGCCGCCACCCCUCCAACAUCCAUGCUGGCCUCCGUCGAUCUCUGGCAUCGUCGCUUGGCCAUCCCAACCCCGCCGUCUUAGCUUCUAUGCUUAGUGAAUUUACCAUACCAUGUAAUAGGGACUCUCAUAAUUCUGUGUUUUGCGAGUCUUGUCAAUUAGGCAAACAUGUGCGUCUUUCCUUUAGUUCCUCUAGUUCUUGUAGCACUUAUCCCUUUGAAUUAAUACAUUGUGAUUUAUGGACCUCUCCCAUUGCAAGUGUUUCGGGUUUUAAAUACUACCUUGUUAUCCUAGAUGAUUUCACCCACUUUGUCUGGACUUUUCCUCUACGCAACAAAUCCGAGGUCCAUUCUCUUUUCCUUAAUUUUCAACGCUAUGUGUCUGUUCACUUCUUCCUCCCAAUUCGCUUUAUCCAAUGUGACAAUGGUCGCGAGUUUGAUAACAUUAAAAAUCGUACUUUCUUCUUACAACAUGGCAUCCUGCUUAGGUUCUCAUGUCCCUACACCUCCCCUCAAAAUGGUAAAGCAGAACGCUCUCUUCGCACCNNNNNNNNNNNNNNNNNNNNNNNNNNNNNNNNNNNNNNNNNNNNNNNNNNNNNNNNNNNNNNNNNNNNNNNNNNNNNNNNNNNNNNNNNNNNNNNNNNNNNNNNNNNNNNNNNNNNNNNNNNNNNNNNNNNNNNNNNNNNNNNNNNNNNNNNNNNNNNNNNNNNNNNNNNNNNNNNNNNNNNNNNNNNNNNNNNNNNNNNNNNNNNNNNNNNNNNNNNNNNNNNNNNNNNNNNNNNNNNNNNNNNNNNNNNNNNNNNNNNNNNNNNNNNNNNNNNNNNNNNNNNNNNNNNNNNNNNNNNNNNNNNNNNNNNNNNNNNNNNNNNNNNNNNNNNNNNNNNNNNNNNNNNNNNNNNNNNNNNNNNNNNNNNNNNNNNNNNNNNNNNNNNNNNNNNNNNNNNNNNNNNNNNNNNNNNNNNNNNNNNNNNNNNNNNNNNNNNNNNNNNNNNNNNNNNNNNNNNNNNNNNNNNNNNNNNNNNCCCCCGGCCCCUACUCCAACUCCACCACCCAGCCCUACUCCUUCGUCUGACUCUUCCGCUGCGCCGGACUCACCGGUACCCACCUUACCCCCUCGUGCUAUUCCUACAGAAGCCCCGAUUAAUGAUCAUCGCAUGCGUACUAGGGCCAAAUCAGGAUUUCAUCAACCCCAAGACCGCCUAAACCUUCAUACCUCCGUAUCUCUCACUUCUCUUCCAAAGAAUUACAAAACUGCUCUACUUGAUCCCAAUUGGGCCGCUGCCAUGCAAGAAGAAUAUAAUGCUUUACUUCAAAACAACACCUGGCAACUUGUUCCUCGUCCUCCCAAUACAAAUAUUGUUUCUGGCAAAUGGAUUUUUCGCCAAAAGUUCCACUCCGAUGGGAGCCUCUCACGAUAUAAAGCCAGGUGGGUUUGUCGUGGCUUUUCUCAGCAACAAGGAAUUAAUUACGAAGAAACCUUCUCUCCUGUUGUUAAACCUAGCACCAUUCGCACCGUUCUUAGUGUUGCUGUCUCCUCUUCAUGGCCCAUUCACCAACUUGAUGUUAAAAAUGCUUUCCUCCAUGGUUCCCUUCAAGAAACUGUCUACUGCCAGCAACCUCUGGGUUUUGAAAAUCCAUCCUUUCCAACUCAUGUAUCUCUUCUUCAGAAAUCUCUCUACGGUCUUAAACAGGCCCCACGAGCUUGGUUUCAACGCUUCUCCUCCUUCAUUCAAACAAUAGGCUUCACACCAUCUCUCUCCGACACCUCUCUUUUUGUGUAUCAUCAAACUUCUGACACUGCCUAUUUACUUCUCUAUGUAGAUGAUAUCAUUCUUACCGCCUCCUCUCAAAAGUUCUUAGAUCAUAUUGUCUCUCUUCUUAGAUCUGAAUUUUCUAUGACUGACCUAGGACUCCUUCAUCAUUUCUUAGGCAUUGCUGUUGUUCGAGAUUCCUCCAGCCUUUUUCUUUCCCAACGCCAGUAUAUUCUUGAUCUUCUUAAUCGUGUUGGUAUGCUUGACUGUCAAUCAUCUCGCACUCCUGUCGAUACUAGUUUUAAACUUUCGUCUACCGGUGAACCCUUUUCCGAUCCUACUCUCUAUCGUAGCCUAACAGGUGCUCUCCAAUAUCUCACCAUUACUCGUCCUGAAAUCUCUUUUGCUGUUCAACAAGCAUGUCUCUAUAUGCAUGAUCCCCGGGUUCCUCACUAUAAUCAUGUUAAACGCAUUCUUCGGUAUUUAAAAGGAACUCUCAAUCAUGGUCUCCACCUCAAUAAUUCUUCUCCAAACUCGCUUACCGCAUACUCUGAUGCAGACUGGGCUGGUUGUCCUGACACUCGAAGGUCCACUUCCGGUUUUUGUGUUUUUCUUGGUAACAAUUUGAUUUCUUGGUCUUCGAAAAGACAGGUUACAGUCUCACGUUCGUCGGCCGAGGCUGAGUAUCGUGCUGUGGCACAUGCCGUUGCAGAUACAAUCUGGAUUCAGCAGUUACUCUCCGAGCUACACAGGCCUAUUGAGCAGGCCACUAUUGUCUACUGUGACAACAUAUCAGCAGUCUACAUGACCAGCAAUCCAGUUCAACACCGACGCACAAAGCAUAUUGAGAUUGAUAUUCAUUUUGUUCGUGAAAAGGUUGCUCUUGGUCAGGUUCGGGUGCUUCAUGUUCCCUCUACGGCACAGUUUGCUGACAUUUUCACCAAGGCACUGCCUACUAAGCCGUUUCAAGAUAUCUGUUUCAGUCUCAACGUCGUCGAGCCUGCCGUUGAUACUGCGAGGGGAUGUUAGAGUAGUCUUUAUGGUAUACGACUUCUAGUCCAAGUCAGUUUUGUACCCCUACCCCAAGUCGGUUUGUACCCUCUUAUAUACUCUUGUAUGCCGCACCAAAUCAUCAACAAGCAACAGUUUUAUUCAGCUUUCAAUCAAGAACGUCUGUCUUGGUCAUUAUUCUCCUGAACAUUAUUUUCGGGGAGGGCCUAAAACUCAUCAAGAUGAGAUAUCAUCAAACGGAAUUGCUAUUUUUGGGAUGGGCCUAAAACUCAUCAAAAUGAGAUACUAUCAAAUGGAAUUGCUAUUUCACGUAAAUAGUUACCUCACAUCUAAUCCUGGAACCAUAGGAUUAAAUUUGUGAAAAGAUGAAAGCAAAUGAUCGAACAAUCUUUCUCAAUGUUCGAAGACCGGGUAUUUAUACCCUUAUUACAAGGCAGUUAGAAUUACAAUGUCGGUAACUACAACCGACUGAAGCAUUGAUUAUUAGGAUUAAAUUAAUCCUUAACAAAAUUUACUAGAGUAUGAGAUUGUGCAACAACGCUCAUUUAUUUUCUGAUGAGUUGUCAACUUGUCGCUUGUUGUUGUCCCGUGUUUUUUAUUUCUUGAUCGUGUGUGCUGAGUUGUCUUUCUUGGAUCAGACCCAAUAGCGAAAAUAAUUUCUUUCUUUCUAUUCAUUUUUAUGUGCCGGGUUGCGUGUGCGUUUGUCAUUGUCUUAUUAUUAUUAUUAUUAUUAUUAUUAUUAUUAUUAUUAUUACUAUUAUUAUUAUUAUUAUUGUUUUCUUUGUCCAUUUAUGCAGAUUAUCCUAGUGCGAUUGGCAAUUUUUGUUCAAGUGUGUGUGUCCAUACCUGCAUAUUUUAUUAUUUUUGUUUGCAUAUGUCUCUAUACAAGCAAAGUAAAAUUUUCUCAAGCAUCCUUUGUGCCAUAGAAGAUUUCAUGCAUGUUAGUGUUGUAUUUCAAGUCUUUUUAGGUAGCAGAGCAAUCUUUUUUGUGUGUGUGUUUGUAUGAAUAUAAAAUAGCAAGGCCCAAUUCUUUUGCUCGGAAACUAACAAUUAGAUUUAUUCUUUUUAUGUCUAAUUUUGUUCGUGUAAGCAAAUGUUCAAGUAGAAUGAAUCCGAUGAUGAAACUUUGUGAGAAUAAAAUUGCACUUUUCUUGUUUUUUAUCCCAGUAGAGUGCGUGAAUGUUUUCGUUUAUUUUAAUAUUUGUUGUUCUUCUCCUUCUCAUUUUUCUUAUUCCCGAUUUUCUAUUCAUGAUAAUUUUAGCACCUCAACACUUUUUGAAGUGUGCGAACACUUAUUAAAAUUCAUGAAUUUUAAAUUGUGAACACACUAUUGAAUUCAUGAUUUUUUAAAAUAUUACAUAAAAAUUUAGAAAAUAUUUGAACAGUUUCAAAUUGGAUUUGCUAAAUCAGAGGUUUUAAAAAUGUCUCAUUCAAGUUGUGGUUCGUCCGAUCUAUUUGUUGCAAUCUUUGUGCAAACUUAAUCCCAUUUUUUUUGCCACGUGCGCCUCGCGUCAUCGUGUGGUAUAGUUUGUUGGUCUAUUUGUCAGGCCCAUUUAUUGUUCGAUCUCUAUUAUGUUUCCUCCUAGCCUUUUCAUGAGUGUUUUUGUCAUUUGAAUUGGUCAGCUAUCUAGAAGCGAAAGAGACAGGGUUCUUCAUUCGCAAUUGGGGUUGAUCUUUUUUUCCCAGUUGCAAUCCCACCGUCGACUUGCAACCGAGCCCUGACAGUUUUUGUUCCAGUUGCAAGUCUAUCUUUGACUCGUGACUGUGACCUAGACUUUUUUUGUCCCAGUUGCAUGUCCACCCUCGACUCGCAACUGUGGCCCAACCUUUUUGUCCUAAUUGCAAGUUCACCCUCGACUCGCAACUGGGCACGAAUCUUUUAAGUCCCAAUUGCAAUUCCAUCCUCGACUCGCAACUGGGGACCAACCUUUUUUUGUCCCAGUUGCAAUCCCACCCUCAACUCGCAACUGGGCCCGACAUUUUUUGUCCCAGUUGCAUGUCCACCCUGGACUCACAACUGGGGCCCGAAUUUUUUUAUCCCAGUUGCAAGUCCACCAUCGAUUCGCCACUGAGGCCCAACAUUUUUUCCUAGUUGUAAGUUCACCCUUGAAUCGCCAUCGGGGCCCGACCUUAUUUUAGUACCAAUUGCAACUCCAUUCUCAACUUACAAUAGGGGCAUGUCCUUUUUUGUCCUAGUUGCAAGUCCACCAUUGACUCGCAACUAGGGCCUGACCUUUUUUUGUCCAAGUUGAUAAUCCAACCUCGACUCACAACUGGGGUCAACCUUUUUUGCCCCAGUUGCAAGUACACCGUCGACUCACAACUAGACCCAACCCUUUUUCCCCAGUUGCAAGUUCACCCUCGACUCGCAACCAGGGUCUGAUCAUUUUUAGAACCAAUUGUAAGUCGAUAGUUAACUCGCAACUGAGGCCUAACCUUUUCUGUGCCAGUUGCAAGUCCACCAUCGACUCGCAACUUGGGCCCGCCCUUUUUUUGUCCAAGUUACAAGUCCAUCUAUGACUCGCAACUGAGGCGCGACCUUUUUUUGUCCUAGUUGCAAGUCCACCCUUGACUCGCAAUUGGGGCUCAUCCUUUUUUCCAGUUGCAAGUCCACACUCGAUUCACAACUAGGGUCUGGCCUUUUUUUGUCCCAGUUAAUCCCACCCUCGACUUGCAACUCAUGUCCGACCUUUUUGUGUCCCAGUUGCAAGUCCAUCCUCAACUCGCAACUGGGGCCGACCUUUUUUUGUCCCGUAAGUCCACCCUCGACUCGCAACUGAGGUCCGACCUUUUUUUGUCCGAGUUGCAAUCCCACCCUCGAUUCACAAUUGGGCCCCAUCAUUUUUUUGUCCUAGUUGCAAGUCAAUGGUGGACUCGCAACUAGGGUUUUGUCCCAGUUGCAAGUUCGCCCGCGGCUCGCAACUGUGGCCUGAUUUUUUUAGUCCCAUAUGCAAGUCCACCCUCGACUCGCAACUUUAGUCUGACAAAUUUAUGAAAAAUUUCUAAUUUCAUGACUGUUUUUUCAAAUUCUCGUGCAAUUUUUAAUUGCAUGAACAUUUUUUAUCUGCUAUUUUUUCAAUUCUUUAUUAUCUUUAAAAAUUCAUGAAGAACUUUUAGAAUUUUGUCAAUAAUUUUAUGUGUUCAUGAAGAUUCUUUAAUUUAUGAACAUUAAAUUUACACUUUUCGUAUUUAUGAAAAGCUAGGACAUUACGCUGGGGAAGGCAAAGAAAAACGAAACAAACCACAUGCCAAAAACAACCAAACAAACAUACUAGAAAUGGUUUUAAAAGCCGGUUGCGCUGGGGAAGAUCAAGAAAGACGGGAAAGAACCCACGAGCUGAAAAAAGCAAAAAAUCUAAUGAAAACAAAAGUAGUAAUUUUACAACUGAGAGCGUGUUUGUCUCUAAAUGGUAUUUUGGUGUGAUGACAAUGUGAUUAAUGGAACUAAUUACGGUUGUUAAGAUUUAUCUCAGGCCAUGGUACCCCGAAUAUUUAUUGUGGAGAUUGUUGACCCCCUCCCCCCCACACCCACACACUUCAAAAGAUCAAAUGUAUUAUUUUCUGAUGACUCAAAGCUUUUGUUUCUGUUUUAUUUGAGUCAUAGGACAACUGCACUGUCAAGAGGGUCAAGGUGGUUGAAUGACAAUGUGAGAAAACCCCCAAAAAAAGAAAAAAGUCUAUUUUACUCCUCUAAACAAAGUGGGUGGUUUACUUUACCCCGAUCUAUUUUUUGGCUCCUUCUACACCUCGAACAAAACCAAACCGGAUAAAACAUCCCUCCGGCUGGUUUGUCUCCAUUCGAUGCUGAUGUGGCACAGUCCAACGGCGGUUUUGACCGGGGUGGGGCCUACUUGUCAGGUUGGACUGUUAUAGAGCUGUCGUUCCCGUUGCGAUCUGGAUCAGACAGUUCCCGUGGCAGGUUGUACGCGUCCUGGCCGAGGCGGAGGCGCGCGCUGAAGUGGAGCUUCUCGCGAACUGUGUGAGCAGCGGGCAGAGGACGUCACGCUGGGUGACGUAGACACAGAGUCCGCGCAGGGCCGCGGCGUCCACAGGCGAGUCAUGGACGUGGAGGUCAGUAAGAGGGGAGGAGCUGGGCUCAAGGCGGCCGGAGAGGAUCUCGAGCAGCGUAGACUGCCGGCGCCGCUGGGUCCGAUGAUGGCAAGCAGCUCGCCGGGGCGCGCGCGGCAGCUGAUGUUGCGGAGCAGUAGACGGCACCGGCUGCUGCGGCUCACCGGCGGAGGUGCGGGCGCAGCAGGGUCGCCGGUGGCGUCGAGGAGGUCGUCGGGCCUGCUCCAUAUCUUGAGCGAGUGAGGCCAGGCGGAGACAGUGAUGCCCGCGGCCUCCACCUCGCACCUGCUGCUUUCUACUCCUCCUCCGCUCUUCAUUGAUUCGCUCGCUAGCUCGUCGUCUUCCUGGAUGGUUGCUAGUAAAGGUGGUGCUUCACCUGCCGGAUGCAUGGAAGACGAUGAGCUUCGUGGUUGCUAGCUUUAUGGUUUGUGUUGGCUGAAGCUCGGGUGAAGCUUGGAUGAUUGGGCUUGGCUGAGCCUAGUUUGGCUUGCUCGGUGGGCAUACAUGGGCAUGGGAGUGUGAGCUUGGAGUGGAGUGGCACAUGAUGAUACCAUGUACGUGCUGGUCUUCUUGGAAGGUGGCGGGCGCCGCUGGGGCUGAAGAUGGCGAGCAGAGAGGCCCUUGACCAUGGCGUCCGCGAUGCGGGUCAGGGCGAGGUCGUCGACGAGCGCGUCGACCGCGGCGGGGUCGUACGCGUCCGAACCGAGGCGGCCGGAGGCGUGCGCUCAAGUGGAGCAUCUCGCGCACGGUGAGGAGCGGGAAGAGAACGUCACACUGGGUGACGUAGCCGCAGAGGCGGCGCAGGGCCGCGGUGUCGACAGGGGAGCCAUUGACGCGGAGGUCAGUAGGAGGCGAGGAGCUCGGCUUGAGACUGCCGGAGAGGAUCUCGAGCAGCAUGGACUUGCCAUCUCCGCUGGGCCCGACGAUGUCGAGCAGCUCGCCGGCCGGGCGUGGCAGAUGACGUUGCGGAGCACGAGGCGGCACUGGCUGCUGCCGCUCAUUGGCGGAGGGGCAUGUGGAGCAGGGCCGCCGGCGGCAUCGAGUAGAAAAUGUGAACGUCGGCUAUUUGGCAUGGUCGUCACUUCAGCUCCUCGAAGCAGCCCUGCUCCUCGUCCUGGUCCGCGUCCGCCUUGCUGCACCCCCAUAUCGUCGUGCUCCUGCUCGGCUGCUCCUACGCGCUGUACCGCUCUUGUACGCCGCCGCGCUCCGCAUUGGCAUGCUCGUCCCCGCAGGUUGCAGCGUUGCGUCGCCCCGCUGGCGCACCUGCGCACAGCUGGUCUUCCCUGGCCGCAACGGCAGCUCUAUAACAGUCCAACCUGACAAGUAGGCCACACCCCGGUCAAAACCGCCGUUGACUGUGCCACAUCAGCAUCAAAUGGAGGCCAACCAGCCGGGGGGUGUUUUGUCCGGUUUGAUUUUGUUUGGGGUCUAGAAGGAGCAAAAAAGUAGAUCAAGGGGUAAAGUGAACCACCCACUUUGUUCAGGGGAGUAAAAUGGACUUUUCCCCAAAAAAUAAUACUAGCCUUCCCGCACCUACCACCAAAAAAGGAGCUCUUCACACUUCACAUACAUAUCCUCACUUUGCCCACAAGGUUCCCCAUAGUUUCCGGACACCAGGUGUGCACGUGGUCCGUCAGCUGUCAACAAUCACAAAGUGAGAAAACACUAUAAAGGAACUGCCUUCUCAUAUUUCUUAGACGCUCCAACUCUUUGAGACUUUGGGGAUUAUAGGAUCUCUUUGAGACUUUGGGGAUUAUAGGAUCAAGGCCCGAUCUAUGAUUUGACCAAACUGAUUUGUGUUCCCCGCAAGAUUUCUUCACCAACAACUUGUUACUCUUGGAGCUUGGGCUCCUAGGAGGUUAGGGUUCCUCUGGAAGCUUGCUUGCUUAUGGUGUGCUCUGGAGACGUAUGUAAAAUUAUGGUGAUCACCUUCAAGACCAUCCCUGAGUGAUUUGAGGCUUAUCCGUUGGGGUGACUCGAGCAUAACACAAUGAGCCACUUGGUGGCUUUCCAGACCUUGGCGCCGCCACCGCUCCAACGAAGAGAUUAGCACUUCCCCAAGGAAGUGUGGCCUUCAAGAUAAAAUCUGCAUCUCCGGCUUACUUGUGAUCAAUCAUUUCCAGCAUUUUACUUUGCUUUGUAUGCUUGUGGGCUUGUUAAUUAGAUGGUUGCCUAGUUUACAUCGUGUUGACACACGAACACGUCACGUGUACCCUCGACGCCGGGGGUGAUGCAUCGCAGCUCACGUUGAAGGAGACCCGACCGACAGCGCGAUACGCAAGACAGUCGGCGGGCGCUUUUGCAGACCCGAAACCCCACACCCCGGGAGGGACCCCGUCAGAGAGUGCGGCGGCUAUGGGCUGCCCUAGGUCGAUUCGCUCGCCCCUAGAGCUUUGGGAUUCGCAGCUCUCAAAUUCGAGGAACAACGAAGAACGAGAGAGAAAAACGGUGGAGAGAUAAAACGUAGAUGAAAAAGGAGUAUAUUGAUUUGUUCGAUUGUGUGUUGUUCAAUCGGCCAUCACCCCCAAUAUAUAUAAGAGGCGGCUGGACUUCCCGUACAAGUAAAGGAUUCAUCUAGGCUUUCCUUACAAGAAAUUACAUCAAUUCACGUCCUAGAGUCCUAGUUCUAUUCCAACUCGGAUUCAGUCUGAAUCUGGCCCAACUUCUGUCUUUCUCCUUGUGCGGGCCGCCGAGCUUGCAUAUGAUCUCCGAUCAAGACGGCCCAAAUAUCAAACUUGUGCGCCUCGACGAUACGAACAACCCUCAUGUUGAUCACCUUUUCAAAUAAGGUCAUCUUGAAUACUUUUCGAGGUCAUCUUUACCUUCCAGUCGGACUCGGUCUUGCAGUAGACUGGAUUAUCCGAGUCUCGUAAUGAAUUUGCAGGCCAUAUACUAUCUCUGAUGAUGAUGACUCCAAAACCAAAGUUUACCGUAUUAAUGAUACGCACAACUUCUGUAUUGAACACUUCUUCAUCCGAAGUCAUCUUGAUAAACUUUCGGGCACAUGUUCAGUUUCACUCGGAUUCGAGCUCAUCCACUCGGAUAUUAGAGACUUUCGCUCGGAUCGUCCGACUGGACUUUUUCACUCGGAAGACAAUCUUUCACUCGGAUGACUAUAUUUCCACUCGGAAGGCAAUAUCUUACUCGAUCGGCAAGUUUUUGUUCCGAUGGCAAUCUUUUCACUCGGAAUAUUUUCACCUGGAGGACAAUUUCACUCGGAUGACCAUAUUUCCACUCGGAUGACUAUAUUUCCACUUGGAAGACAAUAUCUUACUCGAUCGACAAGUUUUCGUUCCGAUGGUAAUCUUUUCACUCGGAAUAUUUUCACCUGGAGGAAAAUUUUACUCGGAUGACUAUAUUUGACUUGGAUAAUAAUAAGUUCAUCCGGUCAGCAAACUUUCACUCGACCGGUAAAUUUUCACUCGGAUGGUAAACAUUUUCACUCGGAUUUCCGACUGAAAACACAGCCUGAUCUUGUCUUGUCUCUCCAAGCCUCAUACGACCUCGGAUUGAGACGAACUAUAUAUGAAAAUCGAUCGGCUCGACGAGGCGAAACUUUUCUGUGUUGAAGGUUUUUCGAUUCAAGGCCGUCUUGAGGACCGAAUUGCUCACGCAUUGCAUCAACAUGUGUCUGGUGUCAAGCGUAAUAUUUUGGUCUCUGUCCUGUCCAAACCGUAUUGACUGUAACUUUUGCAUAUGAACUCGGAUUAAGAUGAUUUAUAUAUGAAAAUCAAUUGCCUCGACGAGACGAAGACAAUUCCUUUAGAAUGCUCCUUCAUCUGAGGUCAUAAUGAGGGCGUAAUCGGCCGAAAAGCACUCAGAACACUAAAUUUUGUCACUCGGAGUACAGCUUCGGCCACUGAGAUGAGGUCGAAUGGCGAUAGCCUAAACAUCAAAGUUGUUCCACUCGACGAUGUGAAACUUUCUCAUGCUGAAAACCCUUUCACUCUGUAUCUUGCCAAAAUCAGGUGUCAACACAUGCCCCCCUGUUUUUCGGCAAAGCUUGCACACCGAAAAAUAAUAUGCAUAGUGUUCGUUCUAAGGACGAUGUCAACACUCCAUCGUCCAUUUAUUUUUCUCAGGGCGAUAAUUAUGUAUCGGCCAUGUUUGUGCUAAGGGCGAUAAUCGUAUAUUGGCCAUUGCCUACUUAGGCUUCCUGCCACACACUCGGGUGGUACUUCUUCAAAUAUUUGCCAUUGAGAGCUCGAGGUAACAAUGCCCCUUGUAUUGAUUCCACCAAAUAUGAAUUUCCGGGAACAACUCUUGUAAUCCUAAAAGGACCUUCCCAACUUGGAGACCACUUCCCGAAUUUUCUAUCUCUUGAACCAAUCGGCAGAAUCACUUUCCAGACGAGAUCACCAACUUGAAAAUUCUUCAACUUAACUUUCUUAUUGUAAGCUCUUGCAACCCUCAACUCGUCUCUCUCUAUGGACUUCAAAGCAACCAAACGUUUAUCGGCAACCUCAUCAAUAUUGUCCAUCAUCAAGUUAUAAAAGUCUAUUGCUGAUAAAUCAUUUUGUUUGGCUAUUCUCAAAGCAUUCAAAUUUACUUCCACUGGUAAAACGGCCUCUUGACCAUAUACUAGCUCAUAUGGGCUCACCUUCGUAGCACCAUACCUUGAAAUUCUAUGUGCCCACAAAGCUUCAGAUAACAACUCAUGCCAUCUCCUUGGAUUAUCUUCAAUCUUCUUCUUGAUGAGUUUGAUUAAAAUUUUAUUGCUAGACUCAGCUUGUCCAUUAGCUUGGGCAUAAUAUGGAGAGGAAUUGAGCAACUUUAUGUUAUAAGAUUCGACAAACUCUCUGACUUGGUGUGACAUGAAAGAUGAACCUUGAUCUGUUGUUAACGUUUGAGGAAUACCGAAUCUAUGAAUAAUGUGCUCAGUUAUGAAUUGAAUUACCUCUGUAUGUGUCAUGUUCAUGAGAGGUACUGCUUCAGACCAUUUAGUGAAAUAAUCAGUUGCCACCAAUACGAACCGAUGCCCCUUUGAGGAAGAUGGAUGAAUUUGCCCAAUAAAGUCUAAACCCCAUCCUCUGAAGGGCCACAGCUUGAUAAUAGGAUGCAACAUAGCAGCAGGAGCCAAUUGAAUAUCACCAAAUUUUUGACAAGCUUCGCGCCCUUUAUAAUAUCUGAACCAGUCAUUAAUCAUAGUCGGCCAAUAAAACCUAGCACGUCGCAAUAACCAUUUCAUCUUGGGAGCCGACUGGUGAGUGCCACAAAUGCCUUCAUGUACCUCUCCCAUAGCAACUCUUGCCUGGUCCUCAUCCAAACACUUUAGAAGAACAUCAUCGACUGUUCGGCGAUAAAGACGAUCAUCUCUCAUUGUAUACUUGAAAGACAUACGCCGAACAGCCCUGUCCACCCUUUCACUCGGAUUGCACAAGUAAUCAACAAUGGGCUUCCUCCAGUCGGGAUUGUCACCUGCACUAGAUUUUUUGUUAAUGACUGAAGCAGUGGGUUCUGGUUCGGCCUCUUCUAUACUGGUAAGACAAGACAUCGGACUUUGAGAAAUAUGAAACAUGCCAUGAUCAACAUGGUAUCUAGAUGCUUGCUGUGCCAACUCAUUUUCUUUCCAGUUGUCAUGUCUAGAUAUAUGUGCAAUGCUAAAACAAUCCAAAGUAGAGAUUAUAUCUAGACAUUUAUCAAGAUAAACAUUAAGUGAUUCGUCCAAACACUGAAAGACUUUGGAUAUUUGCUGCACCACUAGUAACGAAUCACCAUAAGCCUCAAUAUGUGUAACACCUAUACCAAGUAACAUCUCUAGGCCGAAUAACAAUGCUUCAUAUUCGGCUUGAUUGUUUGUGCAAAAAUAUUCUAAGCGGCAUGAGGCUUAAAAAACAGCACCAUGACGAGAUAUAUAAACAAUACCAACACCUUGGCCAUUGCUACAAACUGAACCAUCAAAGUAUAAUCUCCAUGGUACUAAUGAAACAAGGUUCAUAUCAACAUCAUGCUUGUCAUUAAUCUGAUGUUCAACAAUGAAAUUAGCAACAAUUUGGCCUUUCAUGGAUUUUAGAGAUUCAUAAGCCAAAUCAUAUUCAAUCAAAGCAUAAGCCCACUUGCCAAUUCUACCACUAAGAAUUGGCCUAUGCAACAUGUAUUUAAUGACAUCGGUUUGACAAGCUACUACAUAAGCACUCGGCACUAAAUAAUGUCUCAGUUUUGUGCAAGCAUAAUAUAAGCAUAGACAUAAUUUCUCAAUAAAUGUAUACCUUGUCUCUGCGUCCAAUAAGCGGCGGCUCAAAUAAGUGAUGGCAUGCUCUUUUCCUUCGGUCUCUUGAGUUAGAACAGCACCAAUAACUCCUUCCUCUGCUGCAAUGUAAAGUCUGAAGGGUUCCCUAUGCUUGGGUGCUUUCAUCACCGGAGGAGUGCACAAAUAAUUCUUGAUCAUAUCAAAUGCUUCUUGCUGUUUUGCCCCCCAAGUGAAAUCAGCAUCAUUCUUUAACCGAAGGAUAGGAGUAAAUGCAUCAACUUUCCCUGAUAGAUUAGCUAUGAACCUUGUCAAAUAAUUGACCUUGCCAAGGAACUUUUGCAUAUCUCUCUUGCAUGUUGGAGCCUCCACUUUAUUUAUGGCCUCUAUCUUUUUGGGAUCAAUCUCUAUGCGAUCUUUAUGAAUAAUGAAACCCAAAAACUUGCCAGCUGAUACGCCGAAUGCACACUUUAAAGGAUUCAUCUUCAGUCCAUACUUUUUCAUUCUUUCGAAGGCUAAACGUAUAUCGGCCAAGUGAGAUUCAAAAGCAUCCGAUUUGACAACAAUAUCAUCAAUAUAAACUUCAAGUAUGACACCGAGUAAAUCAUGAAAAAUUAAAUUCAUAGCCCUUUGAUACGUGGCUCCAGCAUUUUUUAAUCCGAAUGUCAUCACUGUCCACUCGAAUAAACCAAGGAAACCAGGACAUCGGAAGCCGUUUUGUACAUGUCCUCUUCGGCCAUAAAAUUUGAUUGUAUCCGACAUUACCAUCUAGAAAGCUAAUAACCUUAUGUCCAGAAGCAUCAUUAAUAAGCAUAUCGGCUAUUGGCAUAGGAUACUCAUCUUUGGGUGUAGCCCUAUUCAAAUCUCUGAAAUCAAUGCACACCCUCAACUUGCCGAAUCCUUUCUUCUCCACUGGGACAAUGUUAGAAAUCCACUCGGCAUACCUGCAAGGUCGAAUGAAAUUAGCUUCAAGCAGUCGACCGAUCUCUUCCUUGAUCCGGUCAUAUGUUUUCGGAUUAAAUUUUCUGGCCGACUGUUUAUAAGGUCUAAAACCGGCCUUUAUAGGCAACCGAUGCUCCACUAGCUCUCGACUUAACCCUGGCAUCUCAUGAUAUUCCCAUGCAAAGCAACAAACAUAUUCUUUCAAUAGCUCGAUUAACUUAGCCUUACAAUCGGCUUUCAAAUUUUUGUUUAUAAAUGUUGGUCGAGUGACUGAACCAUCUCCAAUAUCUACCUCUUCUAACGGAUCGGCUGAUGUAAAACCUUGUCCAAGUUUAUCCAUGUCAUCCAACUCCUCUAUAGACUCAUACACAUCAUUCUCACUGGACCGAUACUUUACAAGACGUUUUUGUAACCACUCGGAAUUAGGAUCCAUUUAAACAUAUCAUACCUUGGAGCCGAUUGCAUUCAGUCGGCUUUAAAGAGACGGGCACAAAACCAUUCUUGGUCGCGCUGAGAAAAUCAAAUUCUGAUAAGUCACUGUUGGGAAUCAUAGCAUAAUUUUAAAAUUUUUCUACGCUCACCAAGAUCCAUCUAUGGCGUAUACUAGCAACGAAGGGAAAGGAGUGCAUCUACAUACCCUUGUAGAUCGCGAGCGGAAGCGUUCCAAUGAACGUGGAUGACGGAGUCGUACUCGUCGUGAAACAAAUCACCGAUGACCGAGUGCCGAACGGACGGCACCUCCGCGUUCAACACACGUACGGUACAGCGACGUCUCCUCCUUCUUGAUCCAGCAAGGGGAAGGAGAGGUUGAUGGAGAUCCAGCAGCACGACGGCGUGGUGGUGGAUGUAGCGGGUCUCGGCAGGGCUUCGCCGAGCUUCUGCGAGAGGGAGAGGUGUAGCAGGGGAGGAGGGAGGCGCCCAAGGCUGUAAUACUACUGCCCUCCCUCCCCCCUUUAUAUAGGCCCCCUGGGAGGGGGGGGCGCCGGCCAGGAUCCCAUCUGGAUGGGGGGCGGCGGCCAGGGGGGGUAACUUACCCCCCAAGUCAAGUGGGGCGCCCCCCCACCCUAGGGUUUCCAACCCUAGGCGCAGGGGGGAGGCCCAUGGGGGCGCCCCAGCCCACUAUGGGCUGGUUCCCUUCCCACUUCAGCCCAUGGGGCCCUCCGGGACAGGUGGCCCCACCCGGUGGACCCCCGGGACCCUUCCGGUGGUCCCGGUACAAUACCGAUAACCCCGGAAACUUUCCCGGUGGCCGAAACUGGACUUCCUAUAUAUAAUUCUUCACCUCCGGACCAUUCCGGAACUCCUCGUGACGUCCGGGAUCUCAUCCGGGACUCCGAACAACUUUCGGGUUUCCGCAUACUCAUAUCUCUACAACCCUAGCGUCACCGAACCUUAAGUGUGUAGACCCUACGGGUUCGGGGGACAUGCAGACAUGACCGAGACGCCUCUCCGGUCAAUAACCAACAGCGGGAUCUGGAUACCCAUGUUGGCUCCCACAUGUUCCACGAUGAUCUCAUCAGAUGAACCACGAUGUCGAGGAUUCAAUCAAUCCCGUAUACAAUUCCCUUUGUCAAUCGGUAUGUUACUUGCCCGAGAUUCGAUCGUUGGUAUCCCAAUACCUUGUUGAAUCUCGUUACCGGCAAGUCUCUUUACUCGUACCGCAAUGCAUGAUCCCGUGACUAACGCCUUAGUCACAUUGAGCUCAUUAUGAUGAUGCAUUACCGAGUGGGCCCAGAGAUACCUCUCCGUCACACGGAGUGACAAAUCCCAGUCUCGAUCCGUGCCAACCCAACAGACACUUUCGGAGAUACCCGUAGUGCACCUUUAUAGUCACCCAGUUACGUUUUGACGUUUGGCACACCCAAAGCACUCCUACGGUAUCCGGGAGUUGCACGAUCUCAUGGUCUAAGGAAAAGAUACUUGACAUUGGAAAAGCUCUAGCAAACGAAACUACACGAUCUUUUAUGCUAUGCUUAGGAUUGGGUCUUGUCCAUCACAUCAUUCUCCUAAUGAUGUGAUCCCGUUAUCAACAACAUCCAAUGUCCAUAGUCAGGAAACCAUGACUAUCUGUUGAUCAACGAGCUAGUCAACUAGAGGCUUACUAGGGACACGUUGUGGUCUAUGUAUUCACACAUGUAUUACGAUUUACGGAUAACACAAUUAUAGCAUGAACAAUAGACAAUUAUCAUGAACAAAGAAAUAUAAUAAUAACCAUUUAUUAUUGCCUCUAGGGCAUAUUUCCAACAGUCUCCCACUUGCACUAGAGUCAAUAAUCUAGUUACAUUGUGAUGAAUCGAACACCCAUUGCGUCCUGGUGUUGAUCAUGUUUUGCUCUAGGGAGAGGUUUAGUCAACGGAUGUGCUACAUUCAGGUCCGUAUGUACUUUACAAAUAUCUAUGUCUCCAUUUUGAACACUUUCACGAAUGGAGUUGAAGCGACGCUUGAUAUGCCUGGUCUUCCUGUGAAACCUGGGCUCCUUCGCAAGGGCAAUAGCUCCAGUGUUGUCACAGAAUAGAGUCAUCGGGCCCGACGCAUUGGGAAUCACCCCUAGGUCGAUAAUGAAAUCCUUCAUCCAGACUGCUUCCUGUGCUGCCUCCGAGGCCGCCAUGUACUCCUCUUCACAUGUAGAUCCCGCCACGAUGCUUUGCUUGCAACUGCACCAGCUUACUGCUCCUCCAUUCAAAAUAUACACGUAUCCGGUUUGUGACUUCGAGUCAUCCAGAUCUGUGUCGAAGCUAGCGUCGACGUAACCCUUUACGACGAGCUCUUCGUCACCUCCAUAAACGAUAAACAUAUCCUUAGUCCUCUUCAGGUACUUCAGGAUAUUCUUGACCGCUGUCCAGUGUUCCAUGCCAGGAUUACUUUGGUACCUUCCUACCAAACUUACGGCAAGGUUUACAUCAGGUCUGGUACACAGCAUGGCAUACAUAAUAGACCCUAUGGCCGAGGCAUAGGGGAUGACACUCAUCUUUUCUCUAUCUUCUGCCGUGGUCGGGCAUUGAGCUGUGCUAAAUUGCACACCUUGCAAUACAGGCAAGAACCCCUUCUUGGA
rnacentral:lncRNA from 1 species